AGGAACAGAAAUGGUAUUCUGAAGAGGAGGAUCCACCAGAUUAUAGCGCAAAGGGUCCCUAUUUCCAUCGAAAUUCCCAAAUCCCCAUCCAACAACAUAGAAACUGUAUCCAUGGAGAUGCAUGGGGUGGUGUGUCUCUGCAAGCACGGCUGUCCCUUGAAAAAUAAUCUCCACUGUGGAGUUAUACUCGAGCACCCUUACUUCUGUUCCGCUACUCGGCAACUGAUAGGUUAAUGGAAGAUAAUCAUAUGUAAAAUCGAACACAAAUGAUGGAAAGCUAGGAAAGUUAUUUCCAUAUACACCACUGAUGUUAAAAUAGUAAGCUUCCAAUAUGUCAAUUGUAGGCAAAUCGAAGGUUAUGUUGUUUAUACUUGAGGAGAACCGCGUCCCAUUGGGCCCUGCACAUGAAUCAUUGACGCAUGGGUACGAGUUCAUAGAAAGAGUGUAAAACAGGUUAGUGCUUGUGCUCAAUGGGACAUUGCAAGGAUGUUCCACAUCUGCUAAGCUUCGGAGGCCGGCCAUGACCUGAACCGAUGCAUUUGUGUCAUUGUAUGCAGGAAGAUAAGGCAAGGAGAGAGGUGAAGAUGGAGUGUAGUAUCCCCUAUACUGUACAAUAGCUGUGGUGGUUGUGUUAUCAUAAAAGUUUUGAUAUUUAGGGGCAACAGAAUAAGUUAUAGCCGCCAUGUAAUAGUGAUCUGGGCGUUGGUUAGCUUCAAGUAAGACAUCGUAGGUUUGGCCAGGAAAUAUUGUGAUAUAAUCUCGUGUCAAUGGUUUCGUGUAGCUACCAUCUGUUCCAACCACUGUCAUUUUAUGCUUGUCAAUGGCGAAGAAAAGAGCCUCGUGCAAGGCAGCAUUGAUUAUGCGAAGUAGAUAUGUCUUUCCAUGAUCCACCGUUAGCUUGAAUGUGCCUACAAUUAGAAAGGGAAAGUUGUAUACUUAUGACUAGCCAAAAGAAAAAGAAAAAGUUUCCAUGAGGAUCCACCAAUUAUGAAGUGAUUGAUUGAUUAAGGGUGUAAAUUUGGCUCCAUAGUUCAAAAUUAUAUUUGGACUAGAUGUGUUAAAUCAUGGCUGUAUCAUCCUUAUAGCUAUAUUCCUCUUUCUUAGCAUUAAGCUUUAAAUAUGUUGAUGUUAAUAAGAAAAAUUAAUAUGGUUAACAUAUAAGAAAAUGAAAUCAUGUACAAUUUUAAAAUGGAAAGUUAAUCUUUGUACUUGAUUUUGAGCAUGGAUAUAGAUCACCGGGUUGUCCAUUUAUCAAUAAAGCAUCAGAGGGGUCGGGGUCGCCUCCGGUUGCAAGCCCUUCAUCUCGAACCGUAUUCACAUCACUCUUCCACCAUUCUCCUGCAUGUCAACAACUCCAGUAAUUUUAGAUUUUGCUUUUUUAGUUCAUUCAUAAUAUGUAAAUUAACCUUUAAAAAUAACAACACUUAUACCUAAUAUGAUGGGGACUUCUGCGUAAGGUUUGUGAAAAGGAUACUUGGUUCCAUUCUUGGGAUAGAUGAUUAUAGCUCCAUGAACAGUGGCUCGGGUCCAAUCACUAUGAGCAUGCCACCAUAAAGUGCCUUCCUCAGUGGAAAGGAUGAUCUUCUGGGUAAACUUUGACCCUGGCUGAAUUGGGCAUUGUGUGAUAUACUCGGGACCAUCCGUCCAUGGAUAUCUAGGCAUGGUCACCCCAUGCCUACAAAACCAUAACUAUACGUUAAAACUAGUACUAAUUUUCAAAGUAACAAAAUAUAGCAUGCAACAAACAUCAACUGUAUCUCAAUGGAACUGAAGCAAAUAACCCUAAAGUAUUGUUUUAAAUUUGACUUUAUUUUCAAAGCAAUAUAUUGCGGCCCCCUCUUAGAAAUAAAAGAAUGUAAGCCAUGUCUUUCUCUGUGACACACAUAGGACCUACCAGUGAAUGGUGAUGUUUUCUUUUCCUCUGUUAUAAACGUCGACAAUGAUUGUCUCUCCUUUCAUAGCAUAUAUAGUUGGUCCCGGAAAUUGUCCAUUUACUGUUAAGAUGUUCUUGGCGCUACAAAGCCUUGUAUAUGAAGCUUCCCUCACCUACAACCAAUUAAAAGUUAACCAUGCAAACUCAUCCCAAAAGAAAUAUUACAUGCAUGAAUAGUUCCAUUGAUCCAUUCAUGUAAGUGUAUAACCAAUUAGAAAUCGAUGGCAUGCAUGAACGACUCAACGACACCCAUAGCAUACAUGAACAACUCAACAACACUAGGGUAAGAGGUCAUACGGUAAAAAUGAGAGCCAUACUACUCCUUAAAUAUUAUGAUUAGAAGGUGGCGUUAAGGCCAGAAUCACAUAUAGUAUUUACCACAAAAGUAAGCCGACGGGUUGAAGCUUGGCAAUGGAUGCCACCACCAAAAACUAGAAACGCUAAAAUUUGCAGGAGGAAAACCUUCAUGAUCAGCCACAUUUUCCUUGGAAUAAAAACCUCUUCUCUUCUCUUGUCCUAAACACAACUCCUUCAAUUCUCUUACUACUUUUGAUGUAUUUCUUUCACAUGUGAUUCAUUAUAUAGGCAUGGUAAUUCUCUCGGGAUACAAUACUUCCUCUCCACGUGUCAAUACAAGAGGAAGUAAUUUGAAUGUGUAUUGGUUUUCAAUGUUCUUUCAGGACGACUUCAAUGAGCAGGACCACUUCAAAAAAAUUAAUUAUGAUAUUUCUUACAUGAGCAGGACCACUUCAAAAUAAUUAAUUAUGAUAUUUCUUACAUGAGCAGGACCACUUCAAAAUAAUUAAUUAUGAUAUUUCUUACACGUUACCUAAACGUUAUUUCAGAAUAAAUUUAAAAUAUUCUUUCACAAGUCUUUUAUUGAUUAUUUCAACAAAUGUUAAUUAAUUAAAUAUAUGUAGAAUACUUUUAAAACUUUGACCUCCCGUAUGAGUACCCUUAUCAAGAUUAGUCAUGAAAGCUGUUUUUCAUUGACAAAUGCUUUUAAGAAUUAUUUUAAAACUGAUGACUUUGGUGGUUGGUGGCAAAGUUGUUUUUGUAUUGUUACUUGAUACAAUUAGUCAUUAUCAUUGUUUUCAUCUUAAUGGGACAAAGUUGUUUCCAUUCUUUUUUAAACUUGAGAAUUGAGAUUAUAAAAGACAAGAUGAUAAACUAAUCUGGCAUUUCAGAAUUUUCCAUAAAAAACACAAAAAUAUAUUUUGUAAAAAGUUGAAAAUAGGAUACUAACAGCCCCUUGUAGUAUUUUUUUUUUCUCAACAAAAAUCAAUUUAAUAGUAAUAAUAAUAAAUAAUUAUAGAUUUUUUUAUUUAAAAAAAGCUUAUUUUUCAAAACAAAUGCAAUCUAUAAUUUAUUUGUUCGAAUGAUAUGUAUAUCUUGAUUAAAUAAAUAAAUUAUGGAAGGAUUUAUAUAUUUUUAAAUUAUUUAUAAACAGAACAAAUGAUGAAUAAAUUUUAACUAGAUCAAAUAAUAGUUGUAUAAUAAUGGCUUUAACAUACGUUUUUUUAUGAGUAAUACCAAAUAAACAUCUCAACAAAUAUUAUAUAAGAUGAUCGCUAAUUUCACUAUCUUCAUUUUAUUUAUGUUAUUCUUCUUUAUUCAGUGGAUUUAAUUAUGUGUUGUUAAAUGAAUAAGGACCUCUAUAGUUAUAAUCUCACCUGAAAAGUUGGGGAAGUUAUCUCUACAUUAUGGUUCAUCCAUGCAUCAAAUAAAUUAUUUUUGUACUUCCAUCAUCAGAGAUGCAUGUAUGUCUAAGAAUGGCAAAAGAAUCUAUGAGGUCAAGAAAAAAAUGAAAAAAUUUUAUAUGUUUUUUUUAAUUCAUUUCAUUUUUUUUUUCUAAUCUAUAUAAAAAUUCAAUAUAUAUAUAACUUUUUAACUAAUUUUAAUUAUGUUUUUCUUUCAUAUUUUAUAUAAUAAAUCAAAAAUUAUAAAAAAGGACAUUUUUUAAUAUUUCAACUAUAACAAGGUGGGCAUAGUUAAUUUAUAAUGUUAGGAUAUCCUAACAACCUAACCUUAAAAUUUUCUUAAAUAAAUAAUCACUUCACUAGUCAUAUAUUUUCUUAUUCCAUCAUAUUGUGAUUAGCACCAUAGUGUUUGUUAUAUUUUGAAGCAUUUUGGUAUGAUUCUUAUCUCAUAAUAAGUCAUUUUUGAAGCAAACCCAACAUGCUUGAUAGAAAUCCUCUUCCUAAAUGAACCCCAAGGUUUCUUAUUUGAGAGUGUUGGUACAUUAAGUUAUAUAGUUUAAGAUUGAUAAUUUUGUUUCACUCAUUUUGACUUAGGGAUUUUUUAGAUUAUGUCUCGCUCUCUUUUGAAAACUCGAAGUUGUCGUGUGAUCAACUAGAAUAACAAAGGUAAGUAUCGAAAGGUCUGGAAAGACAAAUUAGAGUUAGUUAAGGUUGGCACAAACGUCAAGUUCUUAAACUGAGUUAAAUGUUUUUUAAAACGGGUUUAAAGAACUCCUUGAGUGCUCUAAUGCUGCAGAGAGCGCUUAUGCAGUCCUUAGAGCACUCAAGUGUGAUAGAAUUCUCUAGAAUUUCAAAGCUUUGAUUUUCCAACUUUUAAAAGCUUUAUUUUGGGAAAAUUCUAAAUCUGAUCCACCAGGAUCUUGGCCUAAUAAAUACCUUGCCUAAAGAGGAUUUUCUCUUUUUGAUGUUGAUGUUUCAAAAAACCUAAUUUGUCAUCUUGUUCCCAAAACUCUGAAAGAUGAUUGUCUUUGCUUUUACUAGGUUGAGAAAGAGAUUUGCAUCUCCACAAACACUAAAGUAAGAUUCACGAGAAGCACAAGUGGUGUUGCACUACAAAUGUGAAGUAUAGUAGAGGUGAUAGGGAGUAAGACUUAGGGAUAGUUUCCACUAGAUAAAACUGUGUACUAUACUUUCGAACAAUGGAUUUGUAAUUGGAUAUCUAUAAUUGGAUGUCUCUAACCCCAUGGAUUUUACAUCCGCAUGUUGUGUGACUUGUUUUCCAUGUAAAAAAUCUUGCAUUCUUGUAUUGAAUAUUUUUAAGCUUUCCUAAGUCAAACGGAUUAAUUUAAAAUUGUUGGAAAGUUUGAAGUUUGAAAUUUGAAUUAUUCAAAUAUUUGUUGAUUUGAAUAAGUCAGAGAUUAGAAGUUAAUUUAUUUGUUUUAAAAUCUUAUCAGAUUAGGAGUUAUUUAUUCAAAUAAGGAUUCUAGUUUCCUAAGUUUUAAGGAUUUUUGAAUCCUGGAGUCAACCUAUAAAUCCUGUUGUAUUUCGUAUUACAAAAUAAUAAGAUUUUGGUGCUUUCUGUUUUUCUUUUUUUUUUUUCUACUCCGGCAUCAAAAAUAAUUAUUUUUUGAGCCUAAGAGGUUCAAACACCUAUUCACCCUCUCUAGAUGUUACCUAGACUAGAUCAACUAACUUUUAAUGAGGAAAACUCAAAUUACAGAAUUUGCACUUUCAGCCAACGCAGCUAGGCUUAGGUGGUGUUUGUUUUUUUGGCUUUUUACUAAAAGCAAUUUGUUUUCAAAAUUUAGAUUGUUUGUUUUUCUAUUUUUUCAUGACUUAUUAUAAACUUUUUACUAAAUAGAAAAAGCCAAAAUAUGUAGCUUUUUCUAAAUAGAAAAAAAUAACAUAUUGGUUUUUCUUUACUUUUUAAUACUUAAUAGAAAUAAAAUACUACAAAAACAAACAACCUAAUAUUUAACACUAUUAAGCAUUAAGGUUCUAUUUAGAAUUAAGUAAAAAAACAAACACCGCCUUAGAUAAAUUGAAGAGUAAAUAUCCUUUCAAAUCAACCAACUAGCCUUUCAUCCACGGAGACCUUCUCCAAUUUAAAGAUCAUGAAAACCUCUCAAAGCAUUUCGUAAGAAAAAUAAGAACAUUGGCUCACCCUAAGGGUUCCUUGAAGAGGCUUUGAUCUAAAUCUUCUCCAUGAGUUGUUGAAAGGGUCUUUAACAACUACGAUUGGACUGGAUGGAACACUUAUAUGAACUAAAAAUGAUAAAUAUUAUAACUACUCAAAAAACAUUUUCACAGAAUUGCCAACCUGCAGAUUAUUUUUAGUUAACCAGAUCUUAAAACAUUAGUCACAUCCAUGGCCAAAAUUAAGUGAAGGCUUAGCAUAAAAAAUAUGAAGAACAAGAAGCAUAAAAAGUAAAUAUAGGCUAAAAUAAAAUGUCUUAUAUGAGCAGCUCCAAAUGAUAGCUACUUUGAACCAAUUUACCUCUAAAUAUGGUUUCUAAUUUAACUAAAGUCACAUCUUCAAAAUGAGAUUUUAAAAUUUGAACAGAGAUAUUUAUUUAUUUUAUUGGAGUUGGAUUUGAAUGUUUGAAUUGACCCAAUUUCAUAAAUUAUUAUUUAUAUAUUUUAUUGGAGUUGAAUUUAAAUGUUUGGAUUAACCCAAUUCAAUAAAUAAUUAUUUAUUGGGUUUGCGUUUGGGUACCCAAGUGGACUAAGCCAACCUAAUAAAGAUAAGGGAAAAGUUUUUGGGAACUUUAAAACUGCUCUAAAACUAUUACGAAAAUAUAAAUAGUGUGAAUCUCCAACUUUCUCCCGAUGAGAAAAUAGAAAAGAAAAUAAUUAUUCUUUCUAAGACAAAGUCCCUUCUUGAAUUUUGUUUCCCUAUUUUUUCUAUAAAAAUGAGAGUCAAGAUUUUUAUGCCAUGAAAAUAGAGUAAUUCUUAUAUUUGUAGUUUUAUUCUUAAAAAAUAAUCUGAAAUUGAGACUUUCAGGCAUUUUAAAAGAUAAUCUGAAAUUUCUUUCAAUAUAUAAGCCUUGUACGCGAUGUUGGUUGACUAUUAUGAUAGUAAAUUCGGGAGGAUGCUUGCAUGUAAAAAUUUUAUUUUAUUUUAUUUUUAAUCAUGAAGCACAUUUUAUGGAUUAUGAUUUAUAAUACUGCAUCAAUGGUCAUGAACAUUGCAAUUAUGAUUUUUUUUGAGAUGUUUAAAUGGACGUGAAAGAUAAGAAAUAGAUUUUCUAUUAAGAUAUUUGAAUGGAGAUGAAAGCAUGGGUAUAGGUUUGUACCAAGGAAAUGGACAUAUGAUUAAAAUAAACCUGAUACAGUUACUCUAUAAGAAUGGAUCCUGUUUCUAACCUUUUAACACACAAAUUUGGAAACCUAAACCUAUGGAUUGUUUCUUUCCUAUAAUGGAAUCCUAUAUUCCUUCUCAAAGCAGCGCUGACUUUUCCCUUCCUACCAACUUCAAAGAGAAAAUCUUGACUAAUCUUGAUAAAGGUUUAUUUUAUCUAUACAUGCGAGGUCAAAGUUUUAAAAGUAUUCUACACAUAUUUUAAAUUUAUUCUAAAAUAAUGUGUUUGAUUAAUUUCUUGGUCAAUUCUCAAAGUCAAACUUGUGUUUUGAAUUAGAAAAUUCAAGAGAUUCUAAGAAACUCGUCUUCUACGAUUGAAGCUGAGCUGUGAGAAAUAUUCACAAUUGUUAGCACUCUUCAGGCAUUUGGUUUAUUUAAAUUUUGGUAAGUAAUCAAAUAUCAUACACAACCUGCUCUUUGAAGUGGUCCUGGAAGAACAUUCAAAUUACUUCGCUUAUAUUGAUACGCGGCGAGGAAUUGUUGAUACCCAAGCCACAUGUGAUCUGAUUUAAUGAAUGAAUCUGUGCCCUUCAUCCGAAGAAUUCUGGUGUUCUGGAUUGAUGGGAGCAAAAAGGUGACCAGUUUUACCUAGAGUCAAAUUCAAAUGACAAAAUAUAUUACCAGGGCAAUCAUGGACAGCACCCUUAACUACAAAAAUAGCACACACAGCCAAUCCCAUCAACCUAGUAUUACACCAAUUUGGAGGCAGAUGUACCAUAUUACUGUGGAGCCUAUACUCUGUUGGCUGAACCACUCAGGAAUUCAACUUCCAGGAACGAAAGUACUGGAUUCAAUAUGUGGAGUAUAUGGCACCAUCUGGGUCAUGAAAAUCAAUGUCAAGUUAUAUGGAAAUAAUGUAGGAGUAGUGCUCAAAGGAGUAUAAGAAUUAUUCCAUAGGAUUUAAUUGAUUUACUUUUACAAUAUGAUCAAGAGAGAGAGGAGAGAAACCUGAAUUGGGAAUUGAAAUCUUGGUAAUUUAUUUGCCAGACUUUGCAUUUCCCUUAAUGUAGCUGCCACAAAGUUGCUGCUUUCAUUCUCAGACAGUCUGAAGCAAUUAGAAAAUGUGAAUCGGAGGCCCCCACAUUCCUUGGAUCUGUAGACACUUGAUGGACACAAAAUGUUUUCCAUAACUGUGCAAUCAUGGGCAUCUAUUUCUUCUAUACUUGAUGGAAGCUCUGGUAAUAAUUGAAGCCUCUUGCAAUAACCCAACCUAAAGCCUUUGAGCUGUGAAAGUUGAUUGAGGCUUGCAGGUAGAGUAACAAAAUGGUUUCUACUCAGAUCUAAAUAUUCCAAUGAGCACAAAGAACUAAAGUAAUUGGGAAUUGCUCCUUCCAAUAUGUUGCAAUCACUUAGAUUUAACUUUCUUAGGGAUCUUAAACAAAAAAAGAAUGCAGUUUGUAGACCCUCUAUUUUGUCCUCCUAGCACAUGUAUUAUUAGGUGUUUGUUUAAUACUUUACAACACUUCUCUAGUGGCCCAUUACUAUUCAUGUAGCUUAUCUUUUCUAAGUCACAUUUGAGACUUUGGUUGAGGGAUUUAUCUAACCUCAUUGUGACUCUUAAUAGCCCUAAUUUAGACUUAGGUUUUUCCUUCCUUUUUAGGAUAGCUUUUAGGUGCACUUUUAGGAUAGCACACUUAGGCAUGUUUAGGUCACUUAGACAAUGUUCUGAUCACUUUAGGUCAUUUAGACACUGUCCUAAACAUCCUAGACACCUUCCAACUUGCACACAUUCACCCUAAGUCACUUGGGCACUUUUUUCAUAAUAGGUCACUUGGACACUUGUUUAGGUUUGAUUUCUUGAUUGCUUGGUUCUUUAGGUUUCGGUGAGUAUUGGCCUGUUUUUUUACUUUUGAUUGCAUGAGAUGGUCUUUUGAUACUUAAUCAUGUGAGUUUGAUGUUUCGAUUUUCAUUAUUAUCAAUUGCAUUAGAUUGGCAUUUCAUUUCUUUUGAUUGCAUGCGUUUGGUACUUGUAUUCAUAUUUUUGUUUAUUUAUUUAAAUUUGCAUGAGAUUGAUUCCUUUAUUUUUAUUUUGCAUGAAUUAAUAUUUUGAUUCUCCUAUAUAUGCAUGUGAUUGUGCAAUUUCCAAUUUUAUUCCUAAUUUUAUUUUUUAAUUACUAUUGCAUGAUUUCAACGCCCCUUAUUAUUUUUUUUACUUUGGCAUUAGGAUUUGAUCACUUACCAAACAAGACACGGCUGCAUCCUUCAGGUAAUCUCCAAGUAAUCCACACAUAUAUGCACUUCCCAUAUCCACAUGCAUUCAAAAUGGAAGCAGAAUAUUGAAUGAGGGAGAGGCUGCCAUAGAAGAUCCCCACUUCCCAUAAAAAGAUCUCUACAGGCUGGCUGUACUAAGCGGAAUUUUGGGCACAUAAAUAAAGACAUAAGAACAGGGAAAAGGGUAGACAACCAGCAUAAGAAUGGAGAGAGAAAGAGGCUCUCUCAACUCUCCAAGUCUCAACACCACACCACCGUAUAAGUGAAACGCAAAGGCCCUUUUGUUCUCUCUCUACGUUGGUUUGAUUUUCUCUGUCUAGCUUCCGCAUGCAUGUCGAUUGUGGAUCGAAUUCGAAGGUGGGGCACCGAACCCACCUUGAUCGAUGCCUAAAGAGAUGUGAUUUCUAGGAGUUUUUCAAAUCUUUCUACCGUUUGGGGCAUUGAAUCUGCGAAGUGUCGCCUGGUUUUCGUCAAUUCUGAUAGGGGUUCUGGGUUGGGAAUUUCGCACAUGAAGGGUCCGUUGGAUCGAACCAAGGUCAUGGUCCGGCACUUGCCGCCGAUGAUUUUGGAGGCCGCGUUUUUGGAACAAAUCAAUACCGUCUUCAAGGGGCGCUACACCUUGGUCAAGUUUCGUCCCGGGAAAAACAGCCAGCAAAGACAGUCCUAUUCUAGAGCCUACCUUGACUUCAAGAGGCCGGAGGACGUUAUUGAGUUUGCUGAGUUCUUUGAUGGGCAUGUUUUUGUUAAUGAGAAAGGUACUCAGUUUAAAACUAUUGUUGAGUAUGCUCCUUCACAACGCAUUCCAAAACAUUGGCCUAAAAAGGAUAGCCGUGAAGGGACAAUAUUUAAAGAUCCUGAGUACCUGGAGUUCCUUGAACUUCUUGCGAAGCCUUUUGAGAAUCUUCCCAGUGCAGAAAUACAAUUGGAGAGAAGAGAAGCAGAACGAGCUGGUGCUGUGAAGGACACUCCUAUAGUUAUGCCUCUAAUGGAUUUUGUCCGUCAGAAAAGAGCUUCCAAGGGUGUAUCCCAUCGUUAUCUAAUGGAAAACUAAGCAGAAGAGCCAGUGGGUCAUCAUCUGGAAAUCCAAGUCUGGGCUCAUCAAAACGGGGUUCUGGAAAGAGAAGACUCUCCACCACAAUGUAUGUUUUACGGGAUGCUGCAAAGAACACAAGUGCAAAAGACAAGUCAACGUUCAGUCUGGUUCCAAAGCGAGAUGACCAGCUGCUGUCUGAUAAGUCUGUUAAUCUAGCUGCUGGAGGUGGAGCUGAAGCAUUGAAAGAGGAAAGUGGAGUUUCUGGAGCUGUUGAUGCUGGGAAGAAGAAAGUCCUCCUCCUGAAAGGAAAAGAGAGAGAAAUUUCUCAUCAUUUACAGCAGCAGAAUGUAACAUCUCCAGUAAAGAAUAUACUUGGUGCAAAUUCUCCCAAGCAGAAUCAGAGACGUGAAGGUAGUGGAAGGAUAAUCAGAAGCAUACUUUUAAACAAGGAUGCACGUCAAAGUCAAUCUUCUAUGUUCCAGUCGGGGCAACAGUCCCAAGCCUCUAACUUAGAGAAGGAGAAACGACCUCCUCGCCCUCCACAGCUGUACACACAGCCUGCAAUGCAAAGGAAGGUGAGGGACGCCGCUGUUUGAUUCAAGGAGAGGAGGUAAGUAAAGGUUUUGAGUUUUGGUUUUAAAAAUUGAAAAAUUGGAAUUUUGUUAAUUAAGCUUUGAUUCAUCGUUUUAGACAAAAAAAGUUAUGAUCUUUGUUUCAAUUUAGUUUUGAUUCUCAUAUUAGUUCGAAAAUGUUCAUUUUAUUUUCUUUUAUUGUUUUUGUUUUAGUUUGAUUCUUUGAUUUAGAUCGGAGAAGCUUGAAACUUUGUUUUUGUUUUGGUUUUGGCUCAUCAUGAUAGUUGUAUAAAGCUUGAUAUUUGUUUAAUUUUUGUUUGGAUUCUUUAUUUUAUUUUCAAUAAGUUAGAAUUAUGUUAUAUUUGAGUGUUAUAUGGGUUGUUAUAUUUGAUUGAAUUGUUAGUUCUCUUUAUCUUUGAUACUUAUUUUGUAGGCACCUUAGGGAAUUCUUGAGUUUGAACUUUCUUUUAAAAAAUGUUUUUUAUUAAAUUGACAUUUUGAGUUGAGUCAAAUUUUCUUUUUUCAAAAAUGAAUUUUUCCAUCAUAAGUUUGGCUCCUUGAUCCCAAAUGAAAGGUAGCCAAAAAGGGGAUCCAAUUUAGCUUUUCUCUUAUUUACAAAAUCCUCUUAAGUUAGAAAUCAAAUCUCUAUUUUGUGUUUAUUGAUUAGGAUUUAACAAAUCAUUGGGUCCUUUUUUUUUUUUACUUCCCUUAAAGUCAUUGCCAAAAGCAUUUAAAUCACCAAUAAAAGGUUUUAGAAAACAUUAAUUCUAGCUUUAGGCAAAGAACACAGCUUCUAUUAAAAUUAUGCAACUCAUUUCAUUUAAGUUGCAUUUCUCCUUUGUUGGUUUUUUCUUUUUUUAAAAAAAUGAUUUUUAUUCACAUAGUUUUGGAGUUGUGCUCCCAAACUAAUGGGGAUAUACAGGUAAAACUUAUGAAAAUUGAAUGGGGACUUGAUGGAACCCCUACAUAAGAAAAUCUUUCAAAACUCUUCCUUGCUGCUCAUUUUCACUCAACCACUAACCCUUUAGCUUUAAAAUUUGUUUUAACAAACUUCAUAAUAUUUUUAAAAAAAUUCUGAAACUUGUAUGAUUUUCCUCACUUCUUGAACUUGAAUUUAAAAUUUCGUUUGAGUUAGAAAGUAAUUCUAGAAUAGAAGAUACAAAUGAGUCUUUAGGGGGGUUCUAUUUUCACCUAGUUCUGGACACUAGAAAUACUUUUGUAAAAAUAAAAUAAUAGAUGACUUUUUAAAUUUUGAUUCAAUAUUUUCCCUUAAUUUUAGACUUCUUGAAAUUGAUCUUAAACAUAUAAAAUAUUAAAAAAUAAUCAUUAUAGAGGGAGAUGUGAUUUUUCAAAGUCAUAGAUGGAAUUUGGACAUUUGAUUAGUUGGAGUGUUUUAAAAAUAUUUUUGAGUAUUAUCUAACCUUGGAUUUAUGUUUUCUAUGAUAUAGAUACUUUGAACGAUGUGUGUGAUUUUUUGUAUGAGUUUAUCUUAUUAGUUCCACUUUCCUUCUUUUUUUUUUUUACCUAAUCUAGACUUUGUAGAACUUUUGGGGUGUCCUUGCUGCAAUCUGUCAUUUGAAUGAGUGUUCGGUUUUUGGUAUGUUGUUCUAGAUGUGUAGGUGUUGUUUCUUGAAAUUUUUUGUGAUUAAAUUCCACUCCAAGACAUUUUUAGAAAUUGUUUUGUGAUGCUCCCUUUACUAAUUGCAUGCUGAUGAUCUUGUACUUUGUCUAAAUUUGUUAUUUAUUUUUGGGGUCAUUUGACUUAUCUUGGCUCAAUUUUGGCUUUGGUACUGUACAUUAGACAUAAUGAAUAUGUUAUAUAAUUUAUACUUGUCCUAACCACUCUAACAUUUUUUGAGGAAUCUUAUAAAUUAUAUAUACUGUCCAGGUACGCUCUCUAUCACUUACUUUUUGAAAUUUUAUGAACAUGCAUGUUGUUGUGAGCUUUAUUUAUGUUUGAUUCCAUCCUUGGUUGCGUAGAUGUCUAUUCGAUUUGCUCUGAUUAAAUACAUGUCGUAUGCUAUAUUUUUGUCCUAACUUUAAUGUCUUAUGAUGGCGCUUGAGAAGCAGUCCAGGUACACAUCCUAACAUUUCUUUGCGAUUGUGAUUUGAUUUCUUUUUGGCAUGCUAGUUCUAAAAUCACCUUAGCCUACCUAGGUACCUUCAAUCAAUUGAUUAAUUUCCACUUUUCCCUCGACUUAGUCAAAAGAGACCUCUUUAGGGCUUAGAGGGGUCCUACCUCUUAGAGGUACCUUUCCAAUAGGUAACCUGAUCCCCAGACCAAGACUUGGGUUUUUCAAGACUUGCUUUUCCAAAACUAUGGAGUCACUUCUUUAGGGUUUGCUUUCUUGUUUUAUUUUUCAUUUUAAAAUCAAAUAAAAUAAGUGGUGACUCAAACUUUUCCAAAACUAAUUUUUCAUCAAUAAAAAUGAGUCUCACCGAUUGAGUGGGGACGCACGUGAAAAAUAUGGGUCCACACAGUUGCAAACCCCCAAAGCAAGGAAUUUCUGCGGGCAACAACUGAAAAGAGAUGAGUGAAUUCAUUAGCUUGGAUUCUAGUCCUUUACAUCCCUUAAAUGAUAAUACUUCAAGGUUUUCCAAAAGAGAAAUAGAGGGUGGCAACUCUUUUAUAGUAGUUCUUGCUGCUUCGAGCUUCUCUAAACCUUGUAUGCUCCCCAAACCCUCUAGCAAAUUUUCUAGUUUUGAGCAACCAAACAGAAUAAGAGUUUGAAGAGAUUUCAACUUACAAAUGCUAUGUGGAAGAAUUGCAAGGCUUUUGCAUUCUCUUAGAUUCAACAGAACAAGUCCAUUUAGAUGUUGGAUUGAUGAAGGUAGCUCUUUUAUAGCAGUUCCAUCUAAGAAAAGUUCAAACAAACUCCCCCUAUUUUCCAAGACUUCUGGAAGCCCUUUAAGUUUUAAGCAAUCUGAGAGAAUAAGAAUUUCAAGGGAUCUCAACUUAUAAAUACAACUUGGUAAUGACUCAAGGUUUUAACAGUUCCUCAUAUUUAACAGAACAAGUCCAGUAAGAUAUUCAAUCGACAAGGGAAAUCAUUUUAUUGCAGUGCCCUCCAAGGAAAGCUCUGAUAAAUGUUUCAUGCACCCUUGGACCUCUAGAAACUUCUUGAGUUUCGAGCACCCGGAGAGUAUAAUAAUUUCAAGAGAUUCCAUACAAAUGCUUCUUAGAAAACUCAUAAGAUUCUUGCAGCCUUCUAAAUUAAGACGAAACUUGCAAAGAUUAUAAUCAUAUACCUUGAAUCAUUUCCAAAGUUGUUCAACUCGAUUGUAACUCAUAUUUAGCUCGACAAGCUACUCAGGAUGAAAAUUUAAUGGGAGGAAUUUCAGAGGCUAUCCAUACCAAUAUAGACAUCUUAAGUUGUUCGAUAGAAAUUUGAAGUCUCUAGAAAGAAGCAAUUUAUAGUCUUUGAAUUGAUUGAGUUUAUUCAUCCUCGUGCAAGCAUUAGAAUCAACACAUAACUCUUUCCAAGAAAAAUAUUCAAAGCUUCCACAUAGUCGCACGUUACAGACUGAGUAAUCUUAAUUUGUUCAUCUUCAUGAAGGCAUCAAAACUGACGUGUAGUUCCUUUGAUGCUGACAAGUCAAGGACUAUGCCUUCAACUACUUCAGUCCCUUGCAAUUAACCAGGAACAGAGUAUGAAUUGGAAAUUAAAAUCACAAAAUUCUAAAAGAAAAAGCACAAAAAGAUCAAACUAAUGACUUGUUCUCUUUUUUUUUAGGCAGUGUUCAAGGAAGCAAGUAUGAAGAUAAAAGAAAAUGCAUCUACUUAGACAGAAACUCAGGGAAAAGUUAGCAAAGGAUUCAAAUCAAAUAAUUCCCCCAUCUUUAUAUCUGCCUUUGCAUAAAUAUGCAAUACCUUAUUAAAAUUGUACAUAUAUGUGUGUUUCUCAAAUGAGUUGAAAUUAUCCAAACUUCAUCUUCACCUAGAGCUUAUAUAUACAAAAAGGGAACACACACUCACACAAAGUUCAUGUAUUUAGGUCUUACCGUGUUUCUAGUUAAUGCAUCACUGACAUCUUCAUGAAUCCACAGUCUGCUGUGUUUUAUGGGAUAUUUAAGAGAUUCUUGCCAAACAAUUUUCCAACCCAUUUCUUGUAACAAAUCAUGCAUGCACAACUUAUUAUCUGAAACAAUUAUGAGUGACUUAUCAACAAGAACCCUUAUUCCAAUAUCCAGAAAGAAACCACAACUCUCUAGUAUUUCUGUGAUAAAAUCUUUGUCCUCCAAUUUACAGAAGCAUGUAAUAUCGAGAAAUAUAUAUCUCUCUCUUUGUCAUCUAAUCCAUCAAAACCCAUUUUAAGCACAUUCUAAAUUUCCAUGUUGGGAAUUCUUUUUAGUUUGUCCAAUUCACUUUUCCAUUCAAGUAUGCUCUUGCUAUACAAAAAAGCACCCAAGACUUUAAGAGCUAAUGGAAGACCCUUACUAUAAUGUAUUACAUCAUUGCAUAGCUGCAUAUAAUCUUCUCCAAGGUGGUUAUGUUUAAAGGCAUACUAACAAAAGAGUUGAAAAGCUUCACUAUCCUCUAAUCCCCUAACUUUAUAAAUUGCGCUGACUCCAUGUGUAACAAGCAAAUGCUUUUCUCUGCUAGUUAUAAUAAUUCUACUUCCUGAACCAAACCAAUCAUGGUUUCCUGCUGAAUAUUCUAACUAUUCCAAGUUAUCCACAUCAUCAAGAACAAUAAGAACCUUCUUAGAGUGGAGUCUAUCCUUUACAAAAUUGAUUCUUGUAUUGGAAAUUCCUACAUUUAGAUUUCCAUCUUUCAAUGUAUUUGAGAGAAGUUCCACUUGUAAAUUAUCCAGACCACGUUUUUGUGAUCUUUCUCUGACAUUUGCAAGAAAACAACAACCUUCAAAUUGAGUGUAAAUUUUCUCAUAAAUAGCUCUAGCAAUAGUUAUCUUACCUAUGCCACCCAUGCCCCAAAUUCCUACACUUCGAACAUUAUCCAACCCAAUACACAACGGUGAAUCCAUUGCCUUUAUGUGGGAAUCCAUUCCAACCAGCCCUUCAGCAUAGCUCAAGGAUGUACCAAUCAAUUUAUUAGAUAUAUCUGUGACAAGUUCCUCAAUAAGUAUAGAUUCAUGCUUGCAAAUUUUGAGGGAAAAAAAACAAUCAUUUAAUGAAUUCAAGGAUCCAUUAAAAAAACAAAAGAAAAAUUAGAUAAAUCAUCAGUGAUUUAGUCUUGUUUUUGGCAACUUAAAAGUCAUAUGGCAAGCUUAUAUCUAAGAUUUUUUCCAGUGUAAGUGUGUGUGUGUAUGUGUGUGUGUGUGAGAGAGAGAGAGAGAGAACUGUAUUGCUAUCUAGACAGAGACAAUCAAACUAGAUUAUAAUAGCAAGCAUCAGCCGCACUUCCUAGUAGUCUGCAUGAGGAACUUCUCAGAAGUGGUCAGGAUGGAAAUACUAGAAAAGCCAGUGGAUGCAUGUUUAAGACUGCAAUAGCAUUGAUUGACAGUAGGAUUACAAUUUCCAAGUUAAGCAUAUUGGCAGGCAAAAAUUCUCUUCCAAAUGGUUGAAAAAAUUAGGGAUUACCAUCCAAAAGGUUUUAGAAGCAUGACUAUCCAAUGGGGUUGGGGCACACUACUUAGGCAUGAAAGAGAGCAUGCCAAGGAGUCAUUGGAAAGGAUGAAAAAGCACUAAUUCAAGGUCAACUUACCAAUGGAAUAAAGCACACUAAGGGCAAAUAUGCUCAAGAUAGGGUAAAAGGUUUUACAGUGUAGUCAUAACAUUCUUGCUCAAUGUGAUUAGGACCGACCGAUGUGUAGCUUCGAACACCUUCUGCAGAAAGGAGGGAAAGGGUCAUUGAUAUUAUGGUCAAGUGGGUUGAAAUCACAAUUUGAUGAGGGUCGAGAAAAGCUCGAUAUGUUGGUGCAUUGGAUCCAAGUUAUUCCGUCUUCAUAAUUUUGAUCACAGCCAUGAAGAGAUUUCCUUGCAUAUGUGAGAUCAUGUUCAUCUAAACAUCAUUCAGUCACAGGCAGCAAAAUACAACUUAAUCCAUACAUGGGUUUAAGUCAAUCAUCUUGGAUCAAUCUCUCUAUUGAUCAUCCUAUGAUUUCCAAUUUUAUAUGGCUAUGCAAGCUUUAAAGUUUCAGCAUCAUUACAUCAUACACCUAAAAGGCAAAGGAAAAAAAAAUUGCAGUUAAAAAUACCCAUCUCGAGAAUCCCAUCCAGAAAUAUUGGCAGCUUCAGUCAAAGCCACUCUCCACUUGAUCACUUUCUCCAUCUGCUCCUUAUAAACCUCUUCAUGCUUAGCAAAUGCUUGUGCAAAACUCCCUGUCUGUUUCCUCACAUGAGAGGGAUCCACAUUGUAGAAAACUGGUAAAGCUGCAUGUCCCAUCACUUUGGUGCAGUCAAUAAUCUUGACAAGUUCCUCCAGACACCAUGUUGAAGAAGCAUAAUUUUCAGAGAAAACGAUGACGGAGAAUCUGGACUCUUCGAUUGCUUUUACAAGUGCUGGAGAGAUCUCUUGCCCUCUACUGAGCUUGUCAUCCAUGAAAGUCUUGACUCCUCUUUGAAACAGAGCUCUAUGAAGAUGGUCAGUGAAGCUUUUGCCGGUGUCUUCCCCUCUGAAACUCAGGAACACGUCGUACUUCCAUUGAUGUGUAGAAGAUGAAGAUGAAGAUAAAGAAGCCAUUAAAUUGGAAAAUUGAUAGCUUAAUUGUGGGACAGAAUUAUAAGUGAGUCAGAGAAUGAAUAAAGACUAAACUGAACUGAAGAAAAUUAUAUAUGGCUUGACAUGCAAAUAGCAAAUCACUAUGUGCCCAGAAGUUUCUUGUGAUUUUCUUGUGUGCUGCCAUUGAAUUUCGAUCUACUUUCAGUAAAGUGGUCAGACUACUUCGGAAUCAAAAGGCCAGCUUUUUAUAAUUUACAAAAUAAGUUUGUUUGAGCCGCUUAGCUUUAUCGUUGGGAAAGUUCUUCACGUCCAACUUUUUAAUAAUUUCUAUGCUAGCUAGGGAUCCAUUUGAUAAUUUCUUGUAGUGUCUACAUGUUUAUCACAUGGACAUCUUCAUUUAUAUUAAUAGGAGUCCAUUUGGUAUUUCAAAAAUAGUUAAAGGGGCUUUGCUUAAGAAAAGCUUAGAGAUCAAUUAGAAACACUGUUUUUAGAACCCAACUAGCUAUUGAAUCAAAAAAGUUAUUGAUUCAUGAUCGAACCAAUGUUUGAAGCACAGUCAAAUUGGUAUAAAUAUAAAUAUAUAAAUUAUAUAUUAAAAAUAAAUUAUAAAAUUAUAAAACUUAUUUUUCAUCUUUGAUAUUACCAAACUUAAAUCAUGAAUAAAUAUAAAUGUAAAUGUAUUAAUAUUUUAAAUUUUAUAAAUAAAAUUUGUAUAGCAUUCAUAUGUAAAGAAAUAUAUUUAAAUAGAAUAACAUUCUUUUAUUCAUAAUUUAUUUUACUUAUAUUAUAUUAUUUAGUUAUAUUAAAAAAUUUAAAAUAAUUAUGUUAAUUUUAGUUUAGUUUGCAUUUUUUAAAUUAUAAUCAUUAAUAACAAAGUGGUUAUAACCUAAACAUGAUGUAAAGGUCCAUGGUUUAAACCCUCGGUUCCUCAUUGUUUUAUUGGUCUCAUUAGGUGGGCUAGGCUUGGUAUGUGAAGGACUAACCUUCCACCCAUGAACCAACCUUUUAGUUGAUGAAAAAAAAAGGCUAACCUAGAACUGACAGGCCAUGGUUCAAAGUUGUGGUCGCGGUCACUAACUUGGAGGGUCCUAAAACACAUCAGUCUUGACAUCUCAGCUUGAUAUCAGAUGAUAUGUAAAAUAAGAUAAAUAAAAAUUAUAAAAUUAUAAUAAAUAUUAAAAACAAAUAAAUAUAAUUAAAUAAACUUAAAAAUUAAUAAAAUAAAAUAUUAUGAAAAUUAAAAUUGUUCAAUAAAUUUUUAAUAUUGAAAUUGAAAAUAAAAACUCUUUAAUUACCAAACUCAAAUUAAAAAAUAAAAUAAAAUAUGAUGAUUUUUACCACACAUUAGCAUUUAAAAAUUGAAACAAUAAAAUAAUAUAUAUUAUUGAUACUAGCAUUUAAAACAACAAAUAUAUUGUUGAUAAUGGCAUUUAAAACAAUAAAAUAGUGCAUUAGACCUGCAUUCAAAUCUUCAAUUCUCAAACACCGCCAACCCACCCAUGAAUAGAGAGAGAGAAGAGAACCCUAGCAAAAGUAGAGAGCUUCCUCUGCAACCCACACCCACUCCCACGCCGACGUCGGCGACACUACGGAGAUGAAGUAGAGAAAUAAGAGAUCAACACCCAAGAUCGUCGCUAAUGAAGGAGGAGGGGUCCACGAAGGUGUUGCAGUCCACCCUGUGGUGAGGCUAGCAAAGAAAUGCCCUCCACCUCCUCUUCUCAUACACCUCAAAGACAAUCACGGCUUGGACUAAAAAACUUUUCAAUGACUUCAUUGGGGUCAUCUUCUUCAUCAUGGGUCUUCAAUCAUGGGUCGUGAUUCUCAUGAAAAUUUUUUCCUUUGAAGAGUCAUUAUUUUAAAAAAAUUUAUCAGUUAUGGUUGUUGUUUUGGUGUUUUUUUUUCUCAAUUUUGGGUGUUGUUUUGCUAUGAUUUAGAGGGACAUUUGUUUGUAUUGAGUUUAACUCAAAAAAAAAUUAGUAACUCGAAUGAUUUGCGCAAGUUAACUCAGUAUCUCAACUAAAUCAACUGAGUUUAAUCGAUUCUUGGCCGAGUCUUUACUUCAAAUGGCAUGGAGUAUCGGAUUUGGCGUGGAAGGGGUUGAGGCGGAUACAACUCGUCGAUACUUUGAACCAUGCAACAGACUGGUUCAUUGACUCACUAGUCCAACUGUUAGUCUAUCCGAUUCAAGGCGGAUUCAUUGUGUACUCCAACUCAAAGGCCAAACUAGACCAGGCUUCAGUCGACAGUCCGGCUUGGUCCUGGUUAGAUUUUUUAAUUUAUCCAAACUUUUAAGAAACCUCAAAUGUAAAAAAAUAUUGAUAAUAAUAAUAAUAAUAAUAUGUUUUUCAACUUUUGAAAAAGAAAAAAGGAAAAUAUAUUAUUAUUUUCUAAUAGUUAAAUUGCAUAUCAUGUAAUGGUAAAGCUUUAGAGGAAUCUUAAAUAUAAAAAACUAUUAUUACCAUCUCCAGUUUCUCAAAAUGAGAAAAUUGAAUUUUAUUUCCAACUACAAUAAAUUGUAUAGAUUGAUAAAUAUAUAUAUAUAUAUAUAUAUAUAUAUAUGGGUUUUAUAUGCAUCUUAGGGUGUGCUUGGUAUAUAAGAAUGAUGAAUGAUAAUGAAUAUUUUAUUUCCAUUUUUAUUUCCUCUUGAAUAGGAAUGAAUUUGGUGAUUCUAAUUCUUGUGUUUGGAUGCAUAUAGGAAUGUAAAGUUGGAAUAACAAUUUGUUUCCAUUUUAAUGUUAUAAAAAUGGGAAUGAAAAUGGAAAAAAAAAAUUAUUAUCAAUAAUAUUCAUACAUAGGGUUUAAAAUUUUUUUUUUUUUAAUUUUGAGAGUUUUUUCUGCUUAAUAGUAACAAUCUAUUUCGGUGUAUGAUUUAAAAAAAAAAUUAAAAAUUAUACCUAGUUAUUAUUCUUUAGAAACAAUUUUUAAAAAUAAAGUAAAAUACAGAAUUGUCAUUCCAUUUUUUUUUUCAUUUGAGAAAAUACAUUUCAAAUCAAGUGAACUUUGUAUUGAAUUUAUUAAUAAGUUUAAUAAUUUAAAACUCAAAAAAUAUAUGUAAUGAUUAUAAAAAACUAAUUAAUUAAUAUUAGAUUAAAUAAAACAAUUCAGAAUGUCAUCUUCGUAAUUGAGUAAUAAAUAUAUGCAUAUAAUGAAAAUUUUGGCUUAUACCUUACAAUUUUAAGGGCAAGAAAGUGAUCUAAUGCGGGUUGCUUAGUAUGAAAGGAUGCUUUAAAAUUUAAGAGCUUUUUAUGGAGCUCAUCAAAUGUAAUUGGGGUGUCAUGUGCUUGAACGACAUAGACUAGUUCUUUGUAUUCGUCAACAAGGCCAUAAAAGAUUUUCUCCAUGGCAUCCUCUUCAUCCAUUAGGGCACCAAGGAGAGUAAGUUCAUUGGCACGGGCUUUAAUGGUAUGUAGGAAGGCAGUCAUGCUUUGCAAACCCCUGGUGUGAUUCUUAAGGUGGUUGUUGACUUGUUUAAUGUAGACAUGUGAUAGUUUGACAUAGGUAUUGGUGAAGAUGAUUUAUGCUUCACAAGAGGUUGUGGCACAAGCAAUGAAUGGAAGUAUGGUGGGUGAAACAGAGCCAAUAAGUUCAUUUAGGAUCAAUUGAUCUUGACGAAGCCAUGAAGAAUAGGCUGAGUUGGGUAUUACAGUGUCAUUGGCAAUGAGAGUGGUGGGUGGACAAGGUUUGGUUCUAUCAAUAUAGCUAAGGAGGUCAAAGCCAAUAAACAGUGUUUGGAAUUGAAACCUUUAUGAUAUGUAGUUGGUAGUGGUUAGUUUAAGUGGGGCUUGAGCAAAAACAUUUAUUGAGAUGAGUAUUUGGUGUGAUUCAUGGGUGUUGUGAAUCUUGAGAGUAGAAGUUGUAGAAGUGGUGGCAUCUUAGGUGGCCAUGAGGCUAUGAUGAUGGGGAGGAGCAUUAGAUAGCUUUGGCAGAGAAAAAGAGAUAAGGAAAAACAACUGGUAGUGAGGGUUUUCAGGUCAAGAAGCUUGAAUGCUCUAAUGCCAUAUUAAAGAAUGAGAAGCUAAAUUAUUGCGUUUUUUUUCCUUUGAUUAUGAAGAAUAUAUAUAUAUAUACAUAUACAAAGAAUAUAAAUUUGGAAAUUUUCCUAAUUACCUAAAAUGAUAACCUAGAAUAAAACUAAUUUACAGUCAAUACGUUAUUUAUAAAAGGAAAAAAAUUAUCUAUAAAAGAAAACAAAUUAUCUACAAAAGAAAACAAAAUAGUGAUUGAAAGAGAAUAUGUUAACUUCCUUUAUUAGCGACAAGUUCAACACUCCCCACAUCACGAGGUGUAUUUGGAACCAUGUACAUAUCUCUGUUCUUGAAUUUCAUUAAUUAAGAUGUCCAACUUUUUUGCCUUUCAAAGAAAUUUCUCCUUCUCGUUAAUUUGAAAAUUGUAAUGGAAAGCUUCAAAAAGCAUCAAUAGUCUCCCAAUCUAUCACCAAUCAAACUACAAAUGCCACUAUACAAGGUUUGCUACCAUCAUAUGACCUUUUUGUUGAAAUGAUGACAUUGCCCUUUGUAUAGUGGUGUAACAUGCUGAUUACUACUCAAAAAGUACUUUUUUAUAGCUUGAAACUAACUGUUUUAAACACUUUUAAGUAGUAGUUAAUACCUUUUAAUUUAAUUGGCACAUUAAGGAACCUAGCAAAGGUUACUAAUCAGUUUUUGACAAGUUUUGAUGUUUUUGGUAACUAUUUGAUCAUUGAAACAAGCUAAGAAUGAGGGAGAAUUUUGUGAAAUCCAUGGCAAUGCAAGUUGAAGCUCAAAUACAUUAAGAAUCCGAGCUUUGGAGCACUACAUAGCCCUUUGUCAAGCUAAUCAGAGAUGCAAGGAAGAAAACCAAAGGAAAAAGUCCAACAGUCAGCAUUUUUGCAUGGCUAUGUGAAAAUUUUGCAUAGCAUGCGAAAUCAAGAGGAGGAGUAGUUGUAGGACUGAGAGCAAGACUGAGUGAAAGACAAUUUCGCAUGGCUGUGCAAAUUUUGCACACCAUGGGAAACCACAAGAGCCAGCCAAAGAAAUUUAGCACAUCAUGCGAAAUUUCUCAUGGUAUGCGAAAUCUUCCUGUGCACCGACUCCGUUAGAUUUUUAUCUUCAGAUAUUUUGUGUAAUUUCCUAGUUUCUCCGUGUAACCAACCUAGAUAUUUUCUUUUAUAUCUUUUUAUAUAUCUUUUAGGUAACAUCAUAUAUAGAGGAGAAGACAAAGGGAGAAGAGAGAUGGUUUUUUUCAUUUGAACACUUGUAAAAAUUCUCAAAGUAAGAAAUAUACAGAGUUUUUGCUCUGUCUUCCCUUCUCAUUUUGUUUUCACUUUUCUUUCUAUCCAAACAACCUCUGAGGAUGAUUUCUCAGGGGAUGAGUGGCUAGGUUUUACAUUUCUUGGAGUGAUGGAAGCUAGGUGAAGGACCUGAAUGUAAAGGUGAGAGUUGUCCUUGCUUUAAAUGAAAGUAGUUGUUGACCAUUAAUGGUUUUUAUUUCAAGGUUUAGCUUUAAGUCCCUUAAAAGCACCUUGAAUGGCCAAUACUUGGUAACCUUUUCGGAUUCUAUGGAUGCUUAUUACUAGAUCCAUGGAUGUCUAUUAUUUAUCAUUUACGAGCCAUUGGAAGGUGGUUCAAGGUGAGGGUCUUUAGUAUUUGAAGCCAUUAAUGGGAAGCAACUAUCAUUUUUCAUGAACCCUUUGGAUCAAAUCUUAAUUUCUAAAUACUAAACUGGUUCGGGAGAUAACCAUCCUUUAUGUUAUAGUCCCCAAUGCGAGGAGAAGAUCCAGAAUCUCCCCCUUUGCCUAAGGAAUCCGAUCCUAGUGACCUAAAGCUCCAAGAGACUUUUUCUUUAUAGUUAACUUCAGUUAUUAUUUUUGCUUAACUUAAAAGCAAUCUUUGCAACCACAAUUCUAUUUUCUUUAAAAGCUAAUUUUCAUAAGGAAAAACACCAUUUUAUUUCCUCCACUAAAGUCAAUUGUACGAUGAAAACCCAUCCCUGUGGACGAUCCUAAAGUCGCUAUACUAUGUUAGCUAUGCUACCCUAGUGUAAGGUGAUUUAGGUUUUAUAAAUUUUGUUGAUAACACCCGUCUAGGCCAGAAUCAAAUGGCACGACUGCAAUGGGGACAAAUCAAAUGGCGCCGCUGUCAGGGAUGGUGCCAAAGUACAUUGACAUGACUUUUGGUGAACACUUGUGAUCUUCAUCACAAGGUUGGUGAUUUUUUUUCUUUUACUAAUUCUUUUUCUUUGUCUAUAUUCUAGCUUAUCUUUUAUUUAAUUAUUAGCUAACCUUAACUUUUUCCUAGAAUUGUAUUUCUUUUGUUUUCUUUGUUUUUGUUUCAGUGAUAUCUAGUUGUGCAUGCCCUAUUGGAUAAGAGAUAUUGAGGGAAGACUUGUGAAGAUUGAAACUUCUCAAGAAGCUGAGUUGGAAGUAUUCUUGAACAUCAUGGAUGUUCCAUCUGAAGAUUAGAAUAGCUAACAUGGUCAAGAGAAUAAUUUCAAUGCAUACCGAUCCAUGAGGGACCGCAUGCAUCCACCUCGUAUGAUAAUCUGACCUCACAUUGUGCCACUCCUACCUACUUUCCAUGGCAUGGAAAGUGAGAAUCCCUACUCGCAUAUUAAGGAAUUCGAGGAGGUUUGUAAUACAUUCCAAGAAGGAGGAGCUUCAAUUGACUUGAUGAGGCUCAAGCUAUUUCCUUUCACCUUGAAGGAUAAGGCCAAGAUUUGGCUUAAUUCUCUAAGGCCAAGGAGUAUCCGAACUUGGACUGAUUUACAAGCCGAUUUUCUUAAGAAUUUCUUCCCUACUCAUAAGACCAAUGGUUUGAAAAGACAAAUUUCGAACUUCUCAGCUAAAGAGAAUAAGAAAUUUUAUGAGUGUUGGGAGAGGUACAUGGAAGCUAUUAAUGCUUGUCCUCGCCAUGGCUUUGACACAUGGCUCUUAGUGAGCUAUUUUUAUGAUGGUGGGAUGUAUGUUUUGAAUGAAGAAAUUAACAUGAAGGCAAAGGUUGCAGCUAUGGCAAGGAGAUUGGAAGAGCUAGAAAUGAAGAAGGUACAAGAAGUGCAAGCCAUUUCUAAGACAUCAGUGCAGGUUAUGCCUUAUUCCAUUUGUCAAUCUUAUGAGCAACUUGGUGGAGGAAUGUCCUACCAUUCCAGCAGUGAGAGAUGUUUGGUGAUCAAGCAAAUGUUAUUGGUCAAUUCAAGCCCAAUAACAAUGCUUCAUAUGGCAACACCUACAAUUCAAAUUGGAGGAACCAUCCAAAUUUCUCUUGGAAACCAAAGCCACCUCAAUACACACAACCUACUCAAGCACCUCAGCAAGCCUUGAAUCUUGAACAAGCAAUUGUGAACCUUAGCAAGGUUGUGGGAGACUUUGUGGGAGAUUCGAAGUCCAUCAAUGCUCAAUUGAAUAAGAGAAUUGACAAUGUGGAGAGUACAUUGAACAAAAUGAUGGAUGGAAUGCAAAAUGAUCUAUCUCAAAAAAUAGACAAUGUCCAAUACGCAAUCUCAAGGCUUACCAACCUCAACACAGUGCAAGAGAAAGGAAAGUUUCCUUCUCAACCUCAUCAAAAUCCCAAGGGUAUCCACGAAGUGGAGGCUCAAGAGGGAGAAUCUUCAAAGGUAAGGGAAGUCAAAGCAGUUAUCACCUUGAGGAGUGGUAAAGAAGUUGAUCAGCCCACAUCCAAGCGAAAGCAUGAUGAAAAGAGUGCAGAAGAAAAAGAAAAGAGUGAGGAAAUGAAAGGAAAGAGAAAAAGGAAAAGUACAAAGAAAGAUGACCAUGAUUCUAGUGUGGAUGAAGAACCCGAGAGGAUAGUCAUCAAGGAAGAUAUGACGAAGAAACACAUGCCUCCACCUUUCCCCUAAACUUUGCAUGGAAAAAAGAGAACCAAUAAUGCAUCAGAAAUUUUUGAAGUAUUGAGGCAAGUGAAGGUCAAUAUCCCUUUCCUAGACAUGAUCAAACAAGUGUCGACAUAUGCAAAAUUCUUGAAGGACUUGUGCACUGUAAAGAGAGGGUUGAAUGUGAACAAGAAAGCCUUCUUGAUUGAGCAAGUGAGUGCCAUCAUACAGUAUAAGUCACCAGUGAAGUACAAAGAUCCAGGUUGCCCUACCAUCUCAAUGAGUAUUGGAGGGACUUGUGUAGAGAAAGCUUUGUUGGACUUGGGAGCAAGUGUGAAUUUGCUACCUUACUCUGUCUACAAGCAGUUGGGACUUGGAAAGUUAAAGUCAACAUCCAUCACUCUAUCUCUGGCAGAUAAAUCACUGAAGAUUCCAAGAGGGAUGAUCGAAGAUGUCUUGGUUCAAGUUGACAAAUUCUACUAUCCAGUGGAUUUUGUUGUUCUUGAUACAGAUUCGGUUGUCAAAGGAACUAAUUAUGUUCCUAUCAUACUUGGAAGACCAUUCCUAGCUAAAUCAAAUGCAAUCAUCAAUUGUAGGAAUGGAGUCAUGCAACUCACGUUUGGCAGCAUGACAUUAGAGCUCAACAUUUUCCAUUUGUACAAGAAGCAUAUCCAUCUGGAAGAAGAAGAAGAAGGUCCAGAGGAAGUGUGCAUGAUUGACACUUUAGUGGAAGAGCAUUGUGAUUAGAGAAUGCAAGAGGAUUUGAUUGAGAGUUUUGGGGAUCUUGAUGAAAGGUUACCUAAACCCUCAGAUUUGCUUGCUAUCCUACCCCCAUGGAGGAGGAGAUAAGAAAUUCUACCCUUAUUUAAUGAGGAGGAGACACAAAGAGCUACUAGGGAGGAGCCCCCAAAGCUUAUUCUUAAGCCACUACCCACAGAGUUGAAGUAUGCAUACUUGGAAGAAGACAAGAAGUGCCCUAUUGUUAUAUCUUCAGCUCUUACCAUUCAUCAGGAGGAUUGUCUACUUGAAGUCCUUAGAAGAUGUAAGAAGACAAUAGGGUGGCAAAUUUCUGAUUUGAAAGGGAUCAGCUCUUUAGUCUGCACCCAUCAUAUUUACAUGGAGGAUGAAGCUAAGCCAGUUCGUCAACCUCAGAGAAGGUUCAACCCUCACAUGCAAGAGGUGGUGUGAGUUGAAGUUCUGAAGCUACUUCAGGCCGGUAUUAUUUACCCCAUAUCAAAUAGCCCAUGGGUGAGCCCUACUCAAGUUGUGCCAAAGAAGUCUAGGAUCACGGUGGUGCGAAAUGAUAAGGGAGAAAAUGUCUCUACACGCCUCACUACAAGUUGGAGGGUGUGUAUCGAUUAUAGGAGGUUGAAUGCGGUGACAAGGAAAGACCAUUUCCCAUUGCCCUUUAUUGAUCAAGUGCUUGAGAGGGUCUCAGGGCAUCAUUUUUAUUGUUUCUUGGAUGACUACUCUGGGUACUUUCAGAUAGAAAUUGAUGUUGAAGACCAGGAGAAUACCACUUUCACGUGCCCAUUUGGAACCUAUGCAUACAGGAGAAUGCCUUUCGGCUUAUGCAAUGCACCCGUAACUUUCCAAAGAUGCAUGUUAAGCAUUUUCAGUGAUAUGCUGGUGCAUAUUAUGGAAGUCUUUAUGGAUGAUAUCACCAUAUAUGGAAGUGCAUUUGAUGAAUGCUUGGUCAACCUAGAAACUGUUCUAAACUGAUGCAUUGAGAAAGACUUAGUGCUUAACAGGGAGAAGUGUCAUUUCAUGGUACACCAAGGGAUUGUCCUUGGGCACAUCAUCUCCAAGCAAGACAUUGAAGUUGACAAAGCAAAGGUUGAACUCAUUGUUAAGUUGACAUCCCCAACAAAUGUCAAAGGAGUAAGACAAUUCCUUGGCCAUGUCGGGUUCUAUAGGAGGUUUAUCAAGGAUUUCUCUAAGCUUGCAAUGCCUCUUUGUGAACUAUUGGUGAAGGAUGCUAAAUUCAUAUGGGAUGAUAGAUGCCAAAGUAGUUUUGAAGAAUUGAAGCUAUUUCUGACAACCGCACCAAUAGUGAGGGCUUCCAACUGGCAACUGCCCUUUGAGGUAAUGUGUGAUGCCAGUGACUUUCCUAUAGGAGCUAUUCUUGGGCAAAGAGAAGAUGGAAAACCCUAUGUGAUCAAUGAUUACUACUCAAAAAGUGUUAUUUGAUAGCUUUUAAUUAAUCCUUUUUAACACUUUUGAGUAGUAGUUUAGGCCUUUUAACUCAAUUGGCAUGUUAAGGAUCCUUUAAAGCAAUUUUGAUCACUUUGUGCAAGUUUUAGUGUUUUUGAUAGUAUUUUGAUCACCAAAGCAAGUCAAGAAUGAGGAGAGCUAUGAGGAAUCUUGGGCAAAGCUUAGAAUUCAAUUGCCAAUAGUGAAUCCGGAUUGCAAGGAGAAAAAGCGAAGAGGAUCAGUCAUGGAGCAUAUUCUUGAUGACAGUCGUAGCAGCCACUUUUGGAGCACUUUCUGAAGUCCAAAUGAUGCAAGCUAUAUACCAUUUCAAAGCUCAGGAAGUCAACACUCCAAUUCUUCAAACGGUGUGCAAUUCGGAAUUGAAACGAAGAAGUUGUAGCCAUUACAAGCCAGACACUCUAAAGUGUUGCGGAAUCAGCCAUGUGUUGCGAGAAUUUCGCAGCACUUUUGUACAGUAAGGUGUUUCUCCUUCUAACGAUGCACGAACCAUGCCGCGAGAAGGGAGCUGGAAACCUCAAGAUGGAAGCCAACUUUGCAGCCUAGUGAAGAUAGCUCAGUCUUGCAAGAUAAUUUCGCAGCCCUCUUGGGUGUCUGCGAAAUUUAGCAGGCCUCAUUUUUCACCUGCGAAAUGGCUCCUGAAGCCUCCCGAAGCUUGCUACCGACAUUGGGAGAUAUUUUCCAUUAGAUUUUUGUUGUCUAAAUCCCAAAAUACUCCUUGUAAACCACCAAUUACAUGAUUCCUUAGUUUUUAAGUUAGUAAAAAGACCAAAUAUCUUUGUAACAAUUAGUUUUAUAUUUUGUUGAUAUAUAUACCUCUCGGGAGCCUGUUCUCGGAGAGGAGUUCCUUCUGUAAACGUUUGGUAAGCAAGUAAAGUCUUGUCUUUCUACUGCCUUACCUUCUCACUUUGUAUUUUCAUUUUAUUUCUAAGUUAUGAAUUCUCUGAGGAGUUUUCCCCAGAGAAUGAGUAACUAAACCUCCAAUUCCUUGGAGCUAAGGUUGCCGGGGAAGGUUCCAAGUGCAAGAAUGCAAAGCUCUGUGGUUUUAGCUAGUAAUGAAGAGGAAGUGAAAUCCUUUAGUGAUUUCAAUGUUUUUAGUUAACUUAAAACACCUUAGAGUCACCUGGGCCAACACUUGGUAAGGCAAGUGAUUUCCAACCGUGGAAAUGCACUAGUUUACCCCUUGCGAGCCUCUGGUAGGUGACUUCAAGGUAGGAUUUUCUGGAAUUACCAACACUUGGUAAGCUUUUGGACUCCUAGGAGACAUCCAUUAGUUAUCUCUUACGAGUUUGUGAAGGGGAAUCCAAGGUUAAAAAUCACCUUGAAUGGUAAGUGCUCGUGAGAGGCAUGAACCAUUGCAAGUUGUAUCAGUGAGAGAAUUAAAGUGAAAUCUAAUUGAAGGAGUCUCUGUACAUCACCGGUUAGAGAAUUGACUCUAAGUUGAAUCUCUAAUGCGAGGAAAUGAACCAUCUGACCGGAGCUAUGUCUUUUGNNNNNNNNNNNNNNNNNNNNNNNNNNNNNNNNNNNNNNNNNNNNNNNNNNNNNNNNNNNNNNNNNNNNNNNNNNNNNNNNNNNNNNNNNNNNNNNNNNNNNNNNNNNNNNNNNNNNNNNNNNNNNNNNNNNNNNNNNNNNNNNNNNNNNNNNNNNNNNNNNNNNNNNNNNNNNNNNNNNNNNNNNNNNNNNNNNNNNNNNNNNNNNNNNNNNNNNNNNNNNNNNNNNNNNNNNNNNNNNNNNNNNNNNNNNNNNNNNNNNNNNNNNNNNNNNNNNNNNNNNNNNNNNNNNNNNNNNNNNNNNNNNNNNNNNNNNNNNNNNNNNNNNNNNNNNNNNNNNNNNNNNNNNNNNNNNNNNNNNNNNNNNNNNNNNNNNNNNNNNNNNNNNNNNNNNNNNNNNNNNNNNNNNNNNNNNNNNNNNNNNNNNNNNNNNNNNNNNNNNNNNNNNNNNNNNNNNNNNNNNNNNNNNNNNNNNNNNNNNNNNNNNNNNNNNNNNNNNNNNNNNNNNNNNNNNNNNNNNNNNNNNNNNNNNNNNNNNNNNNNNNNNNNNNNNNNNNNNNNNNNNNNNNNNNNNNNNNNNNNNNNNNNNNNNNNNNNNNNNNNNNNNNNNNNNNNNNNNNNNNNNNNNNNNNNNNNNNNNNNNNNNNNNNNNNNNNNNNNNNNNNNNNNNNNNNNNNNNNNNNNNNNNNNNNNNNNNNNNNNNNNNNNNNNNNNNNNNNNNNNNNNNNNNNNNNNNNNNNNNNNNNNNNNNNNNNNNNNNNNNNNNNNNNNNNNNNNNNNNNNNNNNNNNNNNNNNNNNNNNNNNNNNNNNNNNNNNNNNNNNNNNNNNNNNNNNNNNNNNNNNNNNNNNNNNNNNNNNNNNNNNNNNNNNNNNNNNNNNNNNNNNNNNNNNNNNNNNNNNNNNNNNNNNNNNNNNNNNNNNNNNNNNNNNNNNNNNNNNNNNNNNNNNNNNNNNNNNNNNNNNNNNNNNNNNNNNNNNNNNNNNNNNNNNNNNNNNNNNNNNNNNNNNNNNNNNNNNNNNNNNNNNNNNNNNNNNNNNNNNNNNNNNNNNNNNNNNNNNNNNNNNNNNNNNNNNNNNNNNNNNNNNNNNNNNNNNNNNNNNNNNNNNNNNNNNNNNNNNNNNNNNNNNNNNNNNNNNNNNNNNNNNNNNNNNNNNNNNNNNNNNNNNNNNNNNNNNNNNNNNNNNNNNNNNNNNNNNNNNNNNNNNNNNNNNNNNNNNNNNNNNNNNNNNNNNNNNNNNNNNNNNNNNNNNNNNNNNNNNNNNNNNNNNNNNNNNNNNNNNNNNNNNNNNNNNNNNNNNNNNNNNNNNNNNNNNNNNNNNNNNNNNNNNNNNNNNNNNNNNNNNNNNNNNNNNNNNNNNNNNNNNNNNNNNNNNNNNNNNNNNNNNNNNNNNNNNNNNNNNNNNNNNNNNNNNNNNNNNNNNNNNNNNNNNNNNNNNNNNNNNNNNNNNNNNNNNNNNNNNNNNNNNNNNNNNNNNNNNNNNNNNNNNNNNNNNNNNNNNNNNNNNNNNNNNNNNNNNNNNNNNNNNNNNNNNNNNNNNNNNNNNNNNNNNNNNNNNNNNNNNNNNNNNNNNNNNNNNNNNNNNNNNNNNNNNNNNNNNNNNNNNNNNNNNNNNNNNNNNNNNNNNNNNNNNNNNNNNNNNNNNNNNNNNNNNNNNNNNNNNNNNNNNNNNNNNNNNNNNNNNNNNNNNNNNNNNNNNNNNNNNNNNNNNNNNNNNNNNNNNNNNNNNNNNNNNNNNNNNNNNNNNNNNNNNNNNNNNNNNNNNNNNNNNNNNNNNNNNNNNNNNNNNNNNNNNNNNNNNNNNNNNNNNNNNNNNNNNNCCUUGGUUUUGGUGGGGGGGGCUGGGGGAAAGCCAUUAUAGGGUUGGGGUAGGCCCUUUUCUUAAAACCAAUUGUUUUUGGGAGAGUGGGUAGCCCCUGGGUUUUUCCAAGGGGUUUCAGAGCGGGGGUCAGGGUUUCAACCCCCAGGGUGUAGUGGGGGGGGGGGGGGGCGAUUGUUGGCAGAUCGAAGGGUUGGCCGUGUCCAUCAAUUCCCCUUGUGUUCGUCGUGGGCACUUGGGUGAAUGCACUAUAAGGCUAGGGUAUGCGCCUUCCCUAAAAGCAAUUGCUUUUAGGAGAGUUGGUAGCGCCUGAGGUCCUACACAAGCAAUUAUAUUUGUCCUACUCCUCUACUAUUUGGGAUUGUUUUCCAGUCCACUUUUGGUAAGUGAUCUAGGUUGAAGCUUCCAUAAGCCAAUACUUAAACUAGUUUGAUCUCUAGUUUCACUGUACUACAAAAAUAGAGUAAUUCAAGUGGAAAGAACCAAUAGCGCAUGCAUGACAAGUUUUGUUGUCGAUGAGCUUUACAAAUAGUUNNNNNNNNNNNNNNNNNNNNNNNNNNNNNNNNNNNNNNNNNNNNNNNNNNNNNNNNNNNNNNNNNNNNNNNNNNNNNNNNNNNNNNNNNNNNNNNNNNNNAUGAGUACUAAACUCCAUUCCUUGAGCUAAGUUGCCGGGGAAGUUCCAAGUGCAAGAAUGCAAAGCUCUGUGGUUUUAGCUAGUAAUGAAGAGGAAGUGAAAUCCUUUAGUGAUUUCAAUGUUUUUAGUUAACUUAAAACACCUUAGAGUCACCUGGGCCAACACUUGGUAAGGCAAGUGAUUUCCAACCGUGGAAAUGCACUAGUUUACCCCUUGCGAGCCUCUGGUAGGUGACUUCAAGGUAGGAUUUUCUGGAAUUACCAACACUUGGUAAGCUUUUGGACUCCUAGGAGACAUCCAUUAGUUAUCUCUUACGAGUUUGUGAAGGGGAAUCCAAGGUUAAAAAUCACCUUGAAUGGUAAGUGCUCGUGAGAGGCAUGAACCAUUGCAAGUUGUAUCAGUGAGAGAAUUAAAGUGAAAUCUAAUUGAAGGAGUCUCUGUACAUCACCGGUUAGAGAAUUGACUCUAAGUUGAAUCUCUAAUGCGAGGAAAUGAACCAUCUGACCGGAGCUAUGUCUUUUGCAUGAGGAACCACCCCAGUGAACCUAAAUCUCCAAGGAAUGCUUUUCUUCCUAAAUUAUUCCAAACUUCUGUUAAGUUAGUUAGUUUAAAUCUCAACAAUUACAAAUCAAAGUUUGUGUUUUAUUCCUUAAGCUAACCGUGAAAUGAAACAAGACCAAUUCACUUGGAAUUGGUAUCAUUGAUUGCUUGCAAAUCAUUCCCAGUGAACGAUCCUAGAGCCACUAUACUAUAGUAGCUUUGUAUUUGCUACCCUAGUGUAUGGUGUUAUAGGUAUAAAUUUUGUUGAUCACUUCCUCAAUCAAGGAGCACCAGCUGGACACGAAUCAGCUGAGACACCAAUUAGGCAUGAAUCAAUCUACUAUGCGAGCAAGACAUUGAAUGAGGCUCAAAGAAACUACACAACUACUGAGAAAGAAUUGUUAGCUAUAGUUUUUACCUUGGAUAAGUUUCAUGCUUACUUGGUGGGGUCUUUCAUUGUGGUUUUCACUGAUCACUCUGCUUUGAAGUAUUUGUUCACUAAGCAAGAUGCUAAAGCAAAGAUGAUUAGAUGGAUUCUCUUACUUCAAGAGUUCAAUCUCCAUAUCAAAGACAAGAAAUGAGUGGAGAAUAUGGUAGCAGGCCACCUUUCAAGGCUAGCUAUCGCACAUAAUUCCCAUGGUUUGCCCAUUAAUGAUGAUUUUCCAGAGGAGUCCCUCAUGUAGGUGGAAGUUGCUCCUUGGAAUGCUCACAUUCCGAACUACUUAGUCACAAGAAAAGUUCCAAGUGAGUGGAAAGCACAAGAUAAGAAGCACUUCUUUACAAAAAUUCACUCCUACUAUUGGGAAGAGUCGUUUCUAUUCAAGUAUUGUGCAGAUCAGAUAAUAAGGAAGUGCGUUCCUGAAGAAGAGCAAGAGAGGAUCCUCACUCAUUAAUUUGUUUUUGCAUUAUUCCAUGUACUUGUAUUAUUCUUUUUUUCAGUAUCCAUGAUUAAUUAAUUAAUUGUCAUAAUUCCCUUUUAUGUGCUUAGUAAUAACCUUUUUAAGGCUUAAAAAUGUGCUACUAUGGUACCUCCCAAUAGAUAACUAACCUCUAGAUUCAAACUUGGUUUUUGCCAACAUGUCUUUCCUUUAAAAAUGGAGUUACACAAGGGUUUUAUUUCUUAUUUUGUUUUCUUUUAAAAAUAAACAAAAAUAAAUGAUAACUCCAACUUUAAAAAAAAAAAAAAAUCAGUUUUUUACAAUAAAAACAAAUCUCAUCGUCAAGUAGGAACGUACAUGAAAAAUACGGGUUCACAAUUGUAUUUCUUAGACUUAAAAUAUAAUACGAUUACUAAAUCAACGAAUGUUGUAAGUUUUUAAAUCUUUGAUCAUAAAAGAUUCAAAGUACAAUGAAACAAAUAGUUUUCAAAAGAAAAAAAAAAUAAUGUGUAGGAGCAGACUUAUGGGUUAUUUGCUUGUUAGGAGUAAGUCAAUGAGUAGUAUUAUUGACAUAUUAAGUGCUUGUGACUUGAAAUUAGAUUAUCAUUAUUAUUAAGUCCCAAAAUACAAGGAUUUUAAAUUUUAGAUUAUGCUUAUGCUAUAAGCAACUUUUAAUUUGUAAUGAAGCCAUAGGAGUUAGGCUUCAAGCCUCCAACACCAAACUGUAGCCCAGCUAAAUUGGCUUUGGAUGAGCAUUGUUUGACUCACAAAGUCCCAAGAUUCUCCAAAACACUCCAAAAUCCAAGCUGUUGGCAGAUCGAAGGGUUGCCCGCGUCCAUCAACUCCCCUUGUGUUCGUCGUGGGUGCUUGGGUGAAUGCACUAUAAGGCUAGGGUAUGCGCCUUUCCUAAAAGCAAUUGCUUUUAGGAGAGUUGGUAGCACCUGAGGUCUUACAAGUGGUAUCAGAGCCGAGGUCACGGGUUCAAACCCCAAGGUGUAGUUGGGGGGGGGGGGGGCGAUUGUUGGCAGAUCGAAGGGUUGGCCGUGUCCAUCAAUUCCCCUUGUGUUCGUCGUGGGCACUUGGGUGAAUGCACUAUAAGGCUAGGGUAUGCGCCUUCCCUAAAAGCAAUUGCUUUUAGGAGAGUUGGUAGCGCCUGAGGUCCUACACAAGCAAUUAUAUUUGUCCUACUCCUCUACUAUUUGGGAUUGUUUUCCAGUCCACUUUUGGUAAGUGAUCUAGGUUGAAGCUUCCAUAAGCCAAUACUUAAACUAGUUUGAUCUCUAGUUUCACUGUACUACAAAAAUAGAGUAAUUCAAGUGGAAAGAACCAAUAGCGCAUGCAUGACAAGUUUUGUUGUCGAUGAGCUUUACAAAUAGUUUGUGGAGACCCUUUUCUAGUAUAAUUUGAGACAAUUGCUAGUGGGGUUGCCUAUGAACUAUUGUCCCAGGCUAGUUAGGUUGUUAAACAAUGCAAAUUGAAGAUUUGGGGGCCAAAUGAAAGUAACCAAGUUUAAAGUUGAUGGAAUUACUUAUUAGCUCAAUAUAGAGGCUUAUCUGAAGCACUUUCUCAGUACAAUGCUUCAAGUGGAUUAACUACAUGCAUGCACAAAAGACUUCCAAAAGAAAGGAAAUUUCGUAAGAAUAAUAAAGAGAGCUACUACAAAAUAGAAUAGUCUCUGAACAUAUGUAAUCGAUUGUGCAUUAAUUAAGUAAGAAGACUUCUAAAGUUGGAUAAGUUGUUUAGAAUUUUUAAGAGGGAAUUUGUAAACAUCACAUAAUUGAUCUAACAGACGUUUACCAAGUUCUAUCAUGAUAAUAAAGUAUUGAGGAAAAACUAUACCACCAAAACCAAAUUGUAUUUUCUAAUAAUACUUACUACAUUUCUAUUAAGAAAGAAAAUAUCUAGUGGUAGAGGACAAGUUGAUAGUUUUAGUUUGUGAAUUUUUCACUGCCCAAGCUAACAUCAAAAGAUAUAACAAGACAAAUCCCAUUAAAAUAAGACAAAAGGCUACACAAAAUGGACAUCUUGCUCUUGGUUGAAAAUCACAUUCAAUUGCAAAUCUACCACAUCAAGAAUGCUCCAUUUUUUGUAAUUUUCUCAUACGCAAUCCACAACACUAUUAUUAUAGUUGCUCUACAUGGCUUUUUCUUUUUUUUUUUUGGCUUUCUAGGUUAAUUUUUCUUUGGUUAUAGCUAUAGCUUCAUUGGUCUGUUAAUUCUCUUAUAGGUAAUUCCUCAAACAUGUUGUCCUCAUUGUUGCUAUUAAGUCUUGCAGUAUGAAACGAAAAAUUAAAAUUCUUGUAUUUAAAAUCAAAUGGAAGCACAAGAAUUAAAAAAUGCAAACACAAGAGAAACACUUAAAUCCAAUUACAAAUAGUAGCAUCAAAUUUUCCAUAUCCACAAAAGUCAAGUGUUUAUAUUUCCAAAAAUGAAAAGAAAAAAAGGUUCAUUAAGAGAAGGCCUACAUCUACAAAACAUCAAGGUGUAAGGUUAAGAUAGAGGAAUUCAAUCCAUACCUAAUACAGAGACAUGGAUUCGAACACAUUGACUAGAUUUGAAGAAUGCGAUUCAUCCAUAAGAACUUGUGUAUCAGAAGAGGGUUGGUUUUUGGAGGCACUGGAAGGUGGUUUGAGUAAUGGUGGUGGCUAUUGAAAGGGUCGAUGGUGGUUGGAAGCCAUAAAAGAGGAAGUUAGGUGAAUUGGAGACUUGAUGAAGAAGAUAAUGCAAGCUUUAUAAAAUUUCCUCAAACUUUUCCCUUUCUCUAUCUUGUUUUCCUCACUAAUUUUUAAGGAAAGUAGUAGGGAAAAUACUACGAUAUUUUCUUUAGUAUUUUCCUUUAUACUUUUUUCCAUCAUAUUUUUCAUGUCACCCAAACUAAGGAAAAUAACUUUCUACAAUUUUUUUUUUCCCUUUCCCUUGCAUUUUCUAAAAACUAAACACGUCCUUUAUAAAUAAAAAUUAAGAAUUACAGUAAGACGGUAUAUUCUUCCUCCUUAUUCCUACAUUUCUAAAUCCACUACUCUAUUUUACAUCAUAUUUUUACUCUCUUCUUCAAUCAACAUUCUUCCCUUUAUAUAGAGUUAUUUUCACACCAAUUCAUAAGAUAAGAAAGAUGAAUGAACCUUGGGGCAAGGUUGGACAGCUGGUGGUAGCUAAUCAAGGCUAGAAGUCAACUUUUGCUCGACUUUUUAGGCGUGGGCAGCAAUGUGUGGACCCCUCUUUAGCAUGAAAAUGACUAGAACAUGUUAAGCUCUCUUAUUAGAUGAUGUGUCAACCAUAGGGCAAUCAUCAUAGGGUGGGGAAUAUAUGGUAAUUAUACAAAAAAAAAAGGGAAAGUUUGGCUAUUAUCCUCUCAUAUGAAAAUAUUAUUAAAAUCAAAACCUAACUAUUCUUAUUUCAAAUUAACAACUUUAUUCCCAAAAAUAUUUGGGUCUUCAUGCACUCUUGGCCGAUGUGUUUUUUAAUGUAAAAAAUGUCCUCCCUUUGCCAAGUAAAACUCCAACUAACCCUGCCCACAUGAGAAAAGAAAAAGGCAAAGUUCUUUUUUCUUCAUUUUCUUCAUUGAGCACUGAACCAAACAAAAAAAAUUCCCCAUCUCCUACUCUCCCUAUCAGAAACCCAACGUUAUUUGGAUGCAUUGUUUUUUGAAAUUAUUAUUAUUUAUUUUGAUUUUGUAAAAACAUUGUAAAUUAAAUUUAUAUAAUAUUAAUUAAAUUUUAAACAUAAUUCAAUAUAUAAUAUUAAUUAAAUUUAAUAAAAUUCUUAUUGAAAAUAAAAUUAGUUUUGUAUUUAAACAAUAAAUAGCUUUUAGUAAAAUAGGAAUGGUAAUAUUAUAUUACAAUCACAAAUUUAUAAGCUUUUUUUUUUUUUUUUAAUUUUGUUUACUAAAAAUAUAAGCUUCAAAUUAAAUAAAACUUAAUGUGGUUGAUUUAUUAACAAGUCUAAAUAAUUUUAAAAUCAAAUAGUUAACCAAUUAAUACCAUAAAUUUUUGGAUAAAAAUUGAUUUAUUUUAUUAUUUUUUUAUGAACAUAGUUAUAUCAUUAUAAUUUCUUUAAUUAGAAAAAUAGACUUGAAAUCAAACAAUAUUUUUUGUUGAAUUUAUUUAUUUUAAAUAAUACUAUUAAUCAUUUUUAUUUUUAAAAUAUUAUUAUUAAUUUUUAAUAAAAAAAUCAAUUAUAUCCAUAUUUCCAUAAUAAAGGGUAAAAUGGUAUAACUUUUGUAAAAAAAAUAUAUAUAUAAAUGAGACAAUUGUCUUUUGGACCCGGAUAGACUCAAAAAAUAGGAUUUGGCUCAUGAAAGUUGCAUAAUUAAUGAGAAGAAUAUAAAAUAUGAAGAGAUCAAUAUACCAUUCAAAACUAUUUUCUAUCAUAAUGUUUGAAAACUUUUUUAUCUUAAUUUUUUUAAUAAUUAUUCUGAAAAUUUAUUAUUUUUAGAAAACUAUUUUUUUAAAAAAAUAUAUUAAAAAAAUAUAUCAUUUAAAAAUAAAUAAAUUUGACAUAUUUUCAGUUAUUUUUUAUAUACAUAAUUUAAAUAUAUUUUCUAAGAUGUUUGAUUUUUAAAUAAUAAUAAUUUUUUUUUAUUUUUUAUUUGGAAACUGGUGUAUUUUUUUUCAAAUCACUAAAUUAUAUUAAAUUUUAUUGAGGUUUGCAAAAGAAAUAAAAUUUAAAUUAAUGUUUUUCUAUUUUUUUUGUUUUCAUAGUCAAUAAAGGUCAUUUUUGAAAAAAUAAAAAAUUCAUAUCCUUCUUCUCAAUUUUCACAUUUUCUCUAGAUCUUGAGCUUAAAUAGUGAACUUAUAUAGAUCAAAGCUUAAUUUUUGGGUCCAAUUAGGUCCGAAACACAAUUAUCCCUACAUAAAUUUGUGAUUGUAAUAUAAUAUUACCAUUCCUAUUUUACUAAAAACUAUUUAUUGUUUAAAUACAAAACUAAUUUUAUUUUCAAUAAGAAUUUUAUUAAAUUUAAUUAAUAUUAUAUAUUGAAUUAUGUUUAAAAUUUAAUUAAUAUUAUAUAAAUUUAAUUUACAAUGUUUUUACAAAAUCAAAAUAAAUAAUAAUAAUUUUAAAAAACAAUGCAUCCAAAUAACGUUGGGUUUCACGAAGUUGGGUUUCUGAUAGGGAGAAUAGGAGAUGGGGAAUUUUUUUUGUUUGGUCGAGUGCUCAAUGGAGAAAAUGAAGAAAAAAGAACGUUGGAGUUUUGUUUUGCCUUUUUUUUUUUCUCAUGUCGGCAGGUUAGCUGGAGUCUUGCGUGGCAAAGGGAGGACAUUUUUGACAUUAAAAAACACAUCAGCCAAGAGUGCAUGAAGACCCAAAUAUUUUUCGGAAUAAAGUUGUUAAUUUGAAAUAAGAAUAAUUAGGUUUUGAUUUUAAUAAUAUUUUCAUAUGAGAGGAUACUAGCCAAACUUUCCCAAAAAAAAAUAAUAAUCGUAUCCUAUUAUAUAGAAAGACAUCUUCCAACAUUUGAUAUAAAUAUGUAAAAAUUAAGAGAAAAAUAUUUUUUUUUUAAAAAAACAUAUUAAACUUAAAAAUAGGGACUUAAUAAUAAAAUAAAGUAAAAAGGUAAAAUUAAAACCAAAUGGUAAAUAUGAAUAUAGUUUAAAUAUUAAAAAUAUUAUUAUUUAGGUUAAUUUAAUCAUUGGGUUUGCUAGAGGAGUUUAUAUAUAUAUAAGUUUUUUCUUUUUUUAAUUCUAUCUAUAUUGUUGAUAUUAACUAAAGUGAACUUGUUAUCAAUAAAUUCAGUUUAAUAACGUUAGUUAAUAUCAACAAGUUAUUUUUAGCUAAAUAAAAAAAAAUCAAAUAUUUUACCUUUUUUUUAUUCAACCAAAAAAUAAACACCAUCUAAAAUUUUGGAUAAUAGAAAUGUUUUGACUAUAAACAAAUUUUAUGUGGACCGCUAUCAAAUACCAUGCACAGGGAGAAAUCUAGAUCCUCACAUGCUCUUUGAUUCUAAUGCAUUGAAUUUGAAUGUUACCUACAAUAAAAUUAUAUUUCAUGUCCUCUAUUAUAAGUGGACAACCAUUCCUUAUGUUAGAUUUUAGAUAAUGAACGAAUAUUGAAGAUUAGAGUUGUAAGAAAUUAAGAGAGAAAUUAGGAGAUCCUAAUUUUAAACAUGUAACAAAGUUCUAUAAUCACUUCAAUCCACGUUUAAAAAUUGUAUUUAUUUUUAAUAUGGGAGCAAACUUUUUCUUUCUUUCUUAUAAAUUUCAUUUGGGAGUGAUUUAAAAAUAAAUAAAUAAAAGCCCUUCUAAAUAUUAAAAAAAUACUUUCUUAUAUAAAUUAAUUAAGUGGAUGGUAAAGUCAAAUUUGAAAUAGCUUCAUACUUUUUGCUUUAACCGAAAAUUAAAAUCAAAAUUAAAGUAAUAAUUUUUAAGGGGUAAUGUUGAUGUUAUAAAAUUUUUAUUAAACAUGAAAGAACUUCUUAUCUAAACAAAAAUCAAAUUAUAAAAUUCUCAUAAGAAAUAACAUUUUUAUGACUUAUAUAUGAAACCUUUUUUAAAAGUUAUAAGUUUUAAAAAAAAUAUUAAUAAUAAUUAAAUAAGUAUAACAACUUUUAUUCAACUUGAUCUUUUUUUUUAACUAUUGAGAGUCAAUCCAAAUAAAAUUUAAAUAUAUUUGAAAAUCACUUUUAAAAAUCCAAAAAAAAUCACUUAAAAAUAAUUUAUAAACAUUUUUCAAAUUUUACGUUUAAAUAAAUUUUUUUUUAUGGAUAAAAACAUUACAAAUAAAAAACAUUUUAAUCACAAUUAAUUUGUUUUUUAAUUCAUGAAAUUUCAUUUAUUGUUAUUUGUUUUUUGGGAUUUAAUUCUUUACAAUUAUUUUUUAGUGUUUAUAAAGUAUAAUUAGGUCAUGCCCAAAUUUAUUCCUUUGACUCUAUCUAUUAAGUAUAGGUAGCGUGAAAUUUUGGCCUCUCUCCACCUUUUUUCGCUUCUAACAUUGUCAUGCACUGCUUCGUCAACUCCAGCCACAACUACUGAUGAAUGAUGAUAGAAGAAAAAGAGAAAUGGUCAAUGAAUAAUUUAUUAAUUUAGUUUAUUUCUUAAUUCAAUAGCAUUGGAAUGUCAGCUGGAAUAUUCCAAGUACGUAAAACGAAAGUUUAAUUAUUUAAUCUUUUUUAGCACACCACUCAUGACUCUACAACUUAAAAUAUAGCAUUGGUCAAUUGCAACAGCUUAGUUAAUUGUUAAGUAUCUUUUCUCUAAACCAUAAAUUCAAAUGAUCAAGCUCUACGUUUUAAUUUACAAAAACCAGUGAUUUGUUUUACUAGUUAUUUUAGUUUAAGGAAGCAGAAAAGGGUUUACUUUAAUAUAAAAUUAAAAAAUAAAAAAUAAAAAAUAAUAAAUGGGAGUUGAAAAGUAAUCAAAUCACCGAUUUGGAGUUUUUUCAGUGUGAGGUUAAACUCAAUUUGUGCCCAUGCAAUGGAAAUGGGUAAAUUUUUUCCUUCUCCUUUAUUUUGGUGUAAAUCUUGUGAUAUUAUUAUUAAAAUAGAAGGUAAAAAUAUAAAUUAUAUAUUAUGGACCUUGCAUUUAUGCUCAUGCGCUUCCAUUCAGUGGCGAACUCGCUUUUUAUUUUGAAAAUGAUUUAUUGUUUAGAAAAUGAUUUGCAGUCGUCACUUAUUUUUAUUUUAUUUAAAGGGAAAACAAAAUAAGAAAGAAAACCCUAAAUGUGACUCCUUAUUUAGAAAAAAUGAUCUGUGAAAAAUCAAAUAUGGGCUCGGGGGUCAGGUUACUCAUUAGAAAGGUAUGGUAAAGACCGUAACACCCCUCUAAGUCCCUAAAAACGGGUUUCUACUAAUGAGAUGAAGCAGACGUGUCAAUUGAUUGAUUAAACAUGGAUACCGAAUAAAUAUCAAUCAUAAACAGAAUAAAUGAAUGAACAAGAGGGGCAAAAAGUGUACCUUAGUGAUGAGCUAAUUUGUUUUAUGGCAACAAAGGUUAGUAAACAGACACAGAAUAAUCGCAUACAAGCCAUAGAGUGGAAUAAGUCAAUCAUGUAUAGCAAUCAAUGAGAAAAUCACAUAUGUUGGGUUCCACCAAAACCUGAUUUAUUUUAGCGCUAUUAUUUGGAAUUACAUAAUUAAAUUCAUACUUAUUUUUAAAAGAUCAAGAAAGAUUUGAAAAUUGUCUGUCAAAUAAAAGAAAUGGAAGCAACUUUUAUUCAAAAAGAAAAAAAAAGGAUUUUAUUGACUUUAAGAUUACUAAGAAAAAAUAAAUAAAUAAAAAUAUAAAAUAAAAUAAAAUAAAACUUUUUGAAAAUAAGAUUUUUAAAAAUCAAUUUUUGAAAGAAAAGAUGAAGAACUUAAUAAAUGAAGCAUCCAAGUGCGUUUUAAGAAUGGCCCACCCAAAGGUGCCCAUGCAUGCCAUGCAAGAAUGGGUGCUAGGGUGGAAAUAAUGCUUGCAGAAACAGGGUUCUCAUUCCAUCUUCUCUGCUCAUGCCAUAUGAGAAUCCGAGUUUCUUUGAAAUCAUAAGACCCAGAACCCCUCCCUUCCUUCUGGUAAUAACUAUCAAAUGUAUAUGAGGCAUGGUUCUUCACAUUGUUGGGCUGGUAACAGUCCUCUCCUGGUUGAACCUCUGAGCAAUUUGCUCUUCCCGGUCCACAAACCUAGUCUACGGCAGCCUACAGGGUCGAAAUCUCAAUCUGGGUGUGAAGAUUCACAGCCACGAGAGCGAUGUAUAGUGCCUCAACCUCCAGGAGCAGCAAUGGGUUCAUUGAUGAUGCGCACGACAUCAAGACCAGCAAUAGCUCUAGCAUCCUUUGUUGCCUGGCGCUGAGAGUCACUGAAGUAAGCAGGGACAAUGACAACUGCCUUAUCCACUAUUGAACCAAGGUAGACUUCAGCAAUCUCACGCAUCUUUGAGAGGACCAUAGAUGAAAUCUCUUCAGCGGUAAAUUUUUUCUCUUCUUCUUUGUAAGUGACCACAAUUGUGGGUUUGUCAGACGCUUUGCAUCAAACACAAUGUUGACAGGGUUCAUAGCGACCUGGUUCUUUGCAGCAUCUCCGAUCAACCGCUCCGUAUUAGUGAAAUCAACGUAAGAUGGCAUUGUUCUGUUGCCCUGGUCAUUCGCAAUGAAAUCAACGUAAGAUGGCAUCGUACUGAGCUGGUGACCUCUUAGCUAUAGUUGAUGCAUUGAUCUCUAGCAAAGAGACUUGGUCGUGUAGCUGCCCAUUGGUCUCACUUCUGAAGACGGGACAUGCCUUUUCUAUCACGAAAGCAGCUGCAUCCCCACAAAUCCCAGACUUACCCUGUUGACCUGAAGCAAAAGCUUGCAAGGGAUCCUUAAAUAUAAAUAAUCCCCAGCUCGAUCUGGGUGGAUGUUAGCUGCUCGGAGCGCAUGAGUAACAAUUUCCUUGUCUCAGUUUUCACCGCCUAUACCCAUUAUUCGUUGAAUAGUUUGCCUAAGAUCAUUAACAGAAACUACAUUUGGAGCAGCUUGACCAUAGGUAUCAGCAAGCACACUAUCCGUUGUCACCCUAGAUAUAGAAAGGCUCUUUGGGGACUUGUGCAUUUAUAGGAGCUUCAGCUGUAGCAGUAGGAUUAUGAGCGGGAGCAAGAGUGGGAAUAGGAAUUGGUUCAGGACUGGAGAGUUGUGGAACGACAUAUUUUCAUUAUUAGAGAUAGUUUAUUAUGCACGAGAAUUGAAGUUAGUGAAUAGGGAUGAUGUGAUAGCAUUUGCGAAAUGAGAGAUACGGAAUGAGGGUGGUGGUGUUGGUGUUCAUGGGAUCUUUCAAACCAAAGCUUACAGAUAUCGCCAUUAAAAUAAUCAAUCAUGUUGGAAUCUGCAGUAGCCAAGUUCAUUCAAUUCUGAGGAGACGAAACCACAGGAAAGGGCAAUCUGACUCAAGAGCAUUCAGAUCAAGUGUGGAAAGCGCACAUGCAUCUGCCUGAGCCCUCAGUGACCCAUUUUCUAUAUCACAACCACUAAGAGAAGAGCCGUUCCCUUCAUUCAAAUUUGAUUUCCCCUUUUACUUUUCAAAUUUCAUUCAGCUUUUUCCCUCUGAAAGCACUUCCAUAAUCAAAUCAUCAUCAUCCCAUUUUCUGCUCUUUUCAUUGGCAUCCCCUGUGAACUUCCUCUAGCACAGAGCUUACCCAUUUUUGGCCUCCCAAAAAUCUCCACCCAUAUAAAACGUUGGUGAAGCAGUUACCCAAAAACAUGAGUGUUUCUUUGAGCAAAAACAAAUGGUGAAAGAAAAAUAGAGAAUGGAGGAAGACAACAAACAUGAAAAAUAGAAAUCCAAUGAAUCCACAUCAGGAUCGAUCAAUGGGCUCGUGGAGAAAAACAUAAACAGAUUCAAAGCAAAGAUGCAACCAACAACUCAAGAUGCCCCACAGUGGACACGAUAUAAAACCUCACAUGUUUUUCGAACCAGAGAGAAAGAAUCAGCAACUAUCUUUCCUCCCUCUCUUCUGCAAAACUUUCUCUCAGUCUCCAUCUUCCAGAUAGCUUGCCCUCCAAGAAAACCUCCAAAAAUCUCUGUAACCAAGACACCACCCCCCCGCCCACCAAAAAAAAAAACAUACACGCUCCUCUUCGGAAUCUUCUAUAACACGUGUCAACCGCUUAUUGCUCCUCCAAACCACUAGCGAACCACAAAGCAACACAUGGCUAUUCAAAAUUGUGACACCUAGCCAAAAUAAGUUGCAUGAAAAUGAGCCCCAAAACGGAUCUACAUAUGCCGAUUAUCUUAACUUUAGGAAAAAGCACUUAUUUUAAUUUUAAAUAAAUAAAUAAAAAAUAAUGUAUUUUAUCUCAAUUGUAUAAGACUUCAUAAAAAUUAUCUGUAAAAUAUUUUCAGAUGUAAAAGUAAAAAUUAAACAAACCAUUUCAAAACCCCAGCUGUCUUCAACACAUUUGGACCGUUAAAACUUUAACCUGAAGGAACUUGUAUACUAUAUUGUUAUAAAUGACCCAAUUCAAUAAUUAAGAUUAAUUUUUUUAAAUAAUUAAAAUUAUAAUACCUUGCUAUAUUAUAGAUUUGUUUACGUUAUAGUACUGGGGACGUUGUAACUUGUAAGUGGGUGAAAUUUGGUUUCAAAGGUCCCGGUUGGGGUGCAUGACUGUUAAUAUUUAUUAUUAUAAUAAAAUUUAUUUUUAUUAUAUUAUAAAAAUAAAGAAUGAUUUUUUUUCCAGACUGAACGGAGAAUCUAUAUAACCCAAUAGAAAGUUGCAACGUGUCAACGAACAUGCUGACCAAAACCUUCAUCCGAGUGCAUAGACGUUAGAGGAAACCGCCGAACAGGUCCAUUCGCCAGGCAAGUGGGUCCUACCCCGAUCAAACAGUCCAUCGCCGUCAUCUUCGACCCAAACCACCAUACAAAAAUUCAAUAAAAUUAAGACUUUAUCACCCAACAAAAGCCCACAAGUCCCAAUCGCCAUCACAAGUAUCCAUUUAGAUGAUGGUCUAAUUUUAAAAUAUUAAAAUAAGUCGAUUACUCUAACUUAUAUCAUUUAUAAUUUUUUUAAUUAUCAAUAUGAUACCUAACCUUCUACGGAAUUGGAAUAAAAUAUGGGUCAGUCAAAAUAUGUCCAAUCAAGAUAAUUUUAAACUAUCCCAUUUCAAACUUUUCUAAUACAACAUGAUAUUUUAUCAUGUCCAAAGAAAUUGGAAUGGCCAAAAGUUAUCAAAUCAAGAUAUAUCUAUUGUGGACAUGGCAUUGGGAGGCUUCUUAACAUUGUACUGGUCUGUUUAAUGAGUUGUUCAUAUUGAAAUUAAUUCCAUAAUCAAAGACAGCCAUGGCAAAUUCCACCAUAGCAUAGACUUUUAACAAUCCCAGACACAAUAUUCUACAACUUUACAUUAUCUUGAUUGAAGAUAAUCAUAUUAUUUCAUUAACAAUCCAAGAAAUUCCAUUAUCAAACAAAAAAUAAAUCAUGAAAGCUGAAUAAUGCAAAUAUUCAAUGAAAUCUUUGGCAUGUUAUUUCUUUGCAGCUUCAACAUGGUGGCAUGUCUGACGGAGGAGGCAGCAUUUGAGCUUCCGGGUGUUUACCAUUUUUCACUAUGAACGCAGUUUCCAUGCCCCAAGUCAGAUGGCGUUCUACAUGGCAGUGCAUGAACCACACUCCUGCAGCAGAGAAAAUAUACCAACAUCACACCUAACUUAAUUGUAAUAUUAAGAAAAAUUAUUUCCUUGGUAUGCAAGUUGGUAGUUUCAAGGGUUUUUUAUUUUUUUUUAUUUUUAAUAGAGGACAUGAGUGCUUGCAACAUACCAGGGUUGGAUGCCUCGAAUCUGAUUGCAGCCCAACCAUUCGCAGGAACAGAGAUGGUAUUCUGAAAGGGAGGAUCCACCAGGUUAUAGCGCAAAGGGUCCCUAUUUUCAUCGAAAUUCCCAAAUCCCCACCCAACAACAUAGAAACUGUGUCCAUGGAGAUGUAUGGGGUGAAAUGUCCCAGCAACCAAGUUUGUCCCUUGAAAAACAAUCUCCACUGUCGAGUUAUACUCCAACACCCUUACUUCUGU
rnacentral:lncRNA from 1 species